rnacentral:lncRNA from 1 species
GUUAGGGAGGUCAACAAUUCACUGGUUCUGAACAUUGUAGUGAACGAGGAAGACACUGCCUCUUCUAAAGACAUGCCCUCGACCAUAGUUGUUCACCCACACCAUAUUGCGGUGCACAAAGUCCCUACAACACCGAUUGAUGGUUCAGUCACACCAGCCUAUGCCAUUAAUUCGGUUCUAGACCCGUCGCAACAGUCCCUGCCUUUGUUGCAGACUGGGUUCUCAUGAACAGCAACAUAUGCACACAAAUCCUGCUGACAGAUGAUGCAGUUCCAUUAGCUGCGGCCAGUGUGUUUAGCUCGGCUCCCGUUGCAAGUUCAUUAGCCACGCAUGAAGUUGGUCUUGUGCAGCAUAGUAAUCCAAGGAUUCAACAUGCUAUGGAGCUUUGACAGUGAAUCAAAGACUAUAACAAGAGGGCAGCUGAACCUCCUUUCAUUCCUGUCUUGUCUAAAAAGCAAAACCAGAAUUUAAAGAAACAACAACUUACUGGGAAGCCGCCACAUAGAACUUGUUCCACGGGAGAGCCCUCGCCAUCUGCCCAAUGAAUUUUUUCUAUUGAAAUCUUAGAGGGGCCUUGGUUGUUCAUGGGGGACUUUAAUCGUGAAGGCAGUUGAUAAGUUGGCUAAUAUAGAUAUGCACUACAGGGUUCAAUUUGAUUGACGACUUUUUCUCCAGAAUUGAACUUUGAUUUCUUUCAGAACAAAUACGGUCUGCCUAAUUACAGAUUCCCCUAGUCUAUUGGUUUCCGUUUCCUUUUUCUUUCUUGUUUUGAGAGUUUUAGCCUAAUCCCCCCUCUUUGUAUAUAUUUUCCCCCCUUUUUUUAAUAAUAUUUUGAUCUUGACGGUAUAGGAUGGAUGUUUAUCGAGGUGCCAACCUAGUUGGGAUGUCGGUGUUACCUCUUGAUGUGUGUCAUUUCUCCUAGCUUAUCCAAAAAAUAUUAUUUAUUUUUCAAUUUAUGGAAUGUAUUUUUUUUAUUAAAAUAUGCAUAACAAAUGGUUUUUAUUAAUUAUUUUCAUAAAAAUAUUUUUUAAAUAUUUAAAAUACCCUAAUUAAUUAAUUUAAUUGAUUUAAAAUAGUAAGUAUGAAACAUCUUUAACAUACUAGGCAAAGUCAAAAUUCCAAAAGGAAACUACUAGAAAAUUAUAUCUUUCCAGUUAACACUGAAUAAUAUAUUUUUUUGAACAAUUAACACUGAAUAAUAUAUUUUUUUGAACAAUUAACACUGAAUAAUUGUUGAUACUUGUUUACGGAAUAUUUUCUCUAGUGAUAUCCUUUAAUAUUAUUAAUACUUAAUUGGAAAGGAAUAAUUUUGUAGUAAUAUGCUUUAGAAAUUUUUCCUUUGACUAGUACAUUAAAGAAUUUUCAUAUUUACUCAUUUAAAUCAAUUAAAAAAUUGAGUAUAUCAUAUUAAAUAUUUAAAUAAGAUUUUUAGUGGGCUUGAUUUUUCCUCUGGUUAAACAAGGUAUUCUUGUGUAUAAACGGGAAGACUAAUUAUUUGAGAUCACUAAAGUUCAGUUAAAAUAUUUGUAUCUCUAAACAUAUAUAUUUUCUAUAUACAAGCAUAAAAAAUUAAAUCUUAAAGUAGUUGAACAACACAACACAAGCAAGAAAAAUAAAAAGCCAGAGAAAUAGAUUUUUGAGUUCACAAAUGUAUGACUUCUGGCUGGUAAUGGAUAUUUUUAUGGGCUAAAGAAAGAUCAAAAAGGCAGAGAUUUAUUUAUUUUUACUGACUUUUUCUAGUUGAAAAGUUGUGUCGAUUGGAAUAAAUAGAAGUUGUCUUGAAAUGGUGACAACUUUUAUUAUUUUUUCUUUUCUAGGAUAUAAUAUAAAUAGAAGUAUGCUUAUGUGAUAUCCAAAAAAAAUAAAAUUGAGAUUUGAGAGUUUAAUAACUACUAUAUUUGUCUUGUGCCAAAAACGCUACUAUAUUUAUUCAUUUUAAGAUAUUGUGACUUUUAAUACUUGCUAAGACCGUUUCUUUUACUCAAAUUUGGAACGAUCUUAUAUAUAUGGAGAUUAUUAAAGAAGACCUUAAUUUAACCUUUUAUUGAGAGGAAGAUUUUAAUUUAUCUUUGUAAAUACAAACUUACCAUUACUAUCAAACAUUUAUGAGUCAUGUGCAUUCAUUUUAGUUGUUCAUCUGUAUAACAUUCAUACAAAAUAUGUAACGGUGUAAUCAUAUGUGAAUAACGAGUGUUUACAGUGCAAUUUGGAUAUGUUUUGAGGUAUCUGGUCCAAAAAAAAUUCACAUGAGAUUCGAUCUAGUCCAAUUAAAUAUGGUUUUAUUUGGAUGAUUUUUUGAAUAUCCAAAAUUAAAUUGUAAUAUUGUAAUAUUUGACAAGUGGUUCUAAAGUACAUCAAAAGUUGACGUCAUCAGAAGCAUGUCAUCACAAGCAAGUUUACCAGAAGCUGACAUCAUCAGAAGUUCUGAAGAUCAUCACAACCUUACCUCAACGAGAAUCCUCGCAAAAAUCCUCUCAAAAGGCCAGCUCCUUAUCUGAACUAUCCUUUGUCUCCUCAUCAGAACAAACAAACUCUCUUAUAUAUCCCUCAUUCACAUGAGCCAGUCAACAUUUAUGAACCAGUAAAUCUUGUCAUUUCCCCCAACAAGUCUGAUAUUAACUCAAAUGAAGAUCCUAAAGAUCUUGAUGAAUAUCUUCAAAACCUUAAGGAACAUAGAAAGGAUCUUAAUACGUAAGAAUUUCUAGAUUGCAUAUCCUCUGUUUGAAAAUACUAGUAUUUGUCUCCCAUUGCAUAGCAAUAUGUAAUGAAUAAAAGUAAUCGUAGCACAUCCUUUUGAAUUGAUUUAGGCUGUGUUUGGUAACACAAAAAAGCUAGCUUAUAGCUUGUUGGAUUAGUUUAUAAGCUCGUUAGAUGAAAACGUGACGUGAUUGGUAACAAGCUUUUUCCAUGAGCUUAUAGUGUUUUUUAAAAAGCUAUUUCAAGUAGCUUUUUAGCUUAUAGCUGGUAGCUUUUUAUAUUUUCUUCCAACUUUAACCCUAUUAAUUUAAAUUAAUUAUUUUUUCAUUAAACAACUACCCAUGUUCAUCUUUAUAACCGCCCCAUUUUUCCUUAAAAAAAAUGCCACGUUUGUUUUUUUUAAGGAGCACUUUAUAUAUAUAUAUAUAUAUAUAUAUAUAUAUAUAUAUAUAUAUAUAUAUAUAUAUAUAUUUUAAGAAAAUGCUUUAUAUUUUGCUAUAACUAACCUGCCGUACACCACACAAAAAAUAACUAGCCUAUUUUUUUUUUUUUUUGAAGGAAAAAAUAACUAGUCUAUUGUACGUUGUAAAAUAUUAUAUAUUUUAGCUCACAUUUUGUUUCCACCUUUCUAUUAUUUUUGGGAUUCAUAAAGCAGAGCUCAAAAUUGUCGGUGAAUUUUUUUUUAGGAUUAAAGGUUGAAGAAUAAGACCAAAGGUUUGAAUAUUUAUCGGGACCAAAAACAUAUUUAACUAUAAUUAAAAAUAUUAAAAAAUAAAUACAUUACAAAAAAAUUAUGUGUCUAUAUGUAUAUUAAAAAAAUGUCCUUUUAUGUCAUUUUAUAUUUAUCAGCCACUUCAACAGCUAAUUUUACCAAACACAUUAUUUUUAAUAAGCAAGCUUUUCAGCUAUAAGCUAUCAGCUAUCAGUCAUCAGCUAGCUUUUCAGCUAUAAGCUAUCAGCUAUCAGUCAUCAGCUAGCUUUUCAGCUAUCAGCUAGCUUAUAGCUUAUUUUUACCAAACAGAGCCUUAGUAUAAUAAUAUUUUAUUUUCACUUUCAAAUAACCAAAGUAGUAUUUACUAAUAGGUAUUCAUUAUGGGUUCGUUUGGAAUACCUUAUUUUAGAGCUUAUAUAAAGCAGCUUAUGCACCAAAAUAAAAUUAUGUAUUAUUUUUAAGGUAGUUUAUGAAGAUACAAUUUUCGUUAGUGGGAGUUUAUAAAUUAAAAUAAAAACUUAUUUAUUUGCAUAAGCUAUUUUCGUAAGCUUGAAAUAAACAUAAUCAAAACGGGGUGUCUACUUAAUUUAGAAUUUAAAUAAACAUAUGACUAAUAAAAGGUAGCAUCAUCAAGUUGAAUAAAAAAAGGGUAAUUUUGGUCCAAAAAAAAAGGUAAUUAACAUGGUGGUGUAAGCUGCUGAUAGAUUUUUUUUAGGCUCUAUAACCAUUUGAUCGAGGAUUCAAUUGUUUUUUUUUUUUACAAAAGAGGAUUCAAUGGUUUUUUUUUGUUUUUUUGAAGGAGAAAGAGGAUUCAAUGGUUAAAAGGUGUAUUUGAGGAAACAUAUAUUAGCAUAGGUUAAUUCUUUAAACAAAUCUCAGUUUGAGAAAUUAAUCGUUUUUUUGUGGUAUUCGGAGUUUGAAACCCGAACCUUACAUAUUGUUGUGAAUCCGGAUAAAACUCACACCAAUAUAAACAAAGAUGUGUAGUGCAAAGGGGAGUGGUAAUCUAUGUGUAAAGUGUCUCCAAGCAACAACAACAAAAACAGACCUAGAUCUAAUGUAGAGCAACACCACAAGUGUAUCCAAAGCAAUAAAGAUAAGCAAGAAAGGAAGAACAAACACACCAAAAAAUUGUUGACCUAGUUCGGUUCAAUAUGAUCUAAUCUGGGGGAGAGAGCAGCUCUCCAAUCCACUAUGAUGAAAGUGUUACAAGAAAAAUAGCUUGCAAGCUUACACAAGAACAAGUCCUAGUUUCUACCCAUUUGUGUUUCCCCACUCUCACAAUAUGAACCCUAAAAGAGAAGACACAAGAGGAAGUUUUUGAUCCUUCCAAUGGUGAAAUCUCACUAUCCAAGGUGUUUACAAUGUUUCCCAACCCAAGAGAUCCUCACUACAAAGACACUCAACCCUAGAGUUCCCUCCUUUGUAAUCCAAGUUUUUCUCUCUUCAAACUCUUCCAAACUCUACUCCAAAAUCUGCACAAGAACACUUAAAUACUAGUCUUCCACUAAUAAAAUCGUGUCACGAUUUCCAAGUCGUGUCACGAUUUGUAUGUACGUCACAAGGUACGACCAGUCCUUAUCAUGGAAACUUAACGAGCAAGUUUGAAAAUCGUGUCACGAUUUCCCAAGAUCGUGUCACGAUUUGGCACCCUGCAAACCAGCUCAUGGCAUCACAAAAUCGUGUCACGUUGCCAAAUUCGUGUCAUGAUUUCUCUGUUCUUCCAGACCACAAAUUUGAAGCCAAAUCUCAACACAUAUAUUAUGUAUUGUCUCUACAAACUGACUAAACUCACGAGGACAGUUUGAGAAAUUAAUCUACCCACACGAAAGAGUAUCUUAAAAAAUAUCAGGAAACAAAGUAAGCUUAAUCGUUUCAUAAUAAAUGACCAUGAUGCUUGUAAAAAUAAAUUAAACCUUUUUUUUCCCACAAAAAACAAACCUUCUUGAUUCAUAAAAUAGAUUAUGGUUUAACCAAGUUGUUUGGGCUUCAAUAGCAAGAAGCUCCUUCUAAGGAUGUACCUAAGAAAUACAGGGUUCCAUUUUUUGGAGGAACAAUGUUUGACCAAUGCAGAUGUCUUUACGCAUAAGCCAGAUUAAUCGUCCAUCAUUAAAUUGAUGGGUCAGAAACUGCUGCGAAAGAAAAAAAAAAAAAAAAAUAGAUGAUGGUUUUCAUGCCAAAUAUUUUCACUACUACAAAUACAUUCACUGCCAAAGAAAAUGAUUAUCGUUUUUCACUUUUUUUUUUUGUGUACUUGCAUUGAUAUGAUAUAUGAUAUUUUUUAUUAACUACAUAUACAAUUGUUUUUUUUUAGGGAAACUAAAUAUACAAUUAUUAAAAAUAGAGAAUGCUUAUCUUUUGUUAUAUUAUGCUCAGACUACCUCCGUCUCUAAUUAUAAGACACUUUUGAAAAAAUAAUUUGUCCCUUUUUAUAAGACCCUUUUGGUAUUUUCAAGUACAUUAAUUAUUUCUUUACCAAAAUACCCUUAUUUAUUUUGCAUUUUUUUCUUCAAUCAACAAUAAAUAUUAUAUUGAAAAUAUAAAUUAACUCUCUCUUAAGGAUAAAAUUGUAAAAACAAUAGUAAUUAUAUACAAAUUUCAAAUUUAAUACUACAACCAACUUUCUUAAUCUCCGCAAUUUUGACAAAAGACUCCUAUAUUUAAGUAGAUAGUAUAAUAUAAAACAUUGGAAUCCUCUAAUUACUUUGGUUACUCACAAUAACCUCUAGAAUAAUUAAACCUUAAACUUUGUAAAAAUAAAAAAAAGUAAUGAUUCCCAUAUCAUACUUUGUCAUGAAGUUCUUAAAUGGGGUAAAAUUUUCAAGGUUAACUAACAUUAUUUUGUAUGAUAAAUAAAGGGAAUCCCAAAGAAGAAGAAGAAGACACAGUUGUACUAAAAAAUAAUCCCUGUAAUUCUGCUGCCAUCUGCCUAUUAACAGCAGGUAGAGGGGCCAAGCCUGCAUUUGUUUCAUCAAAUUUAUGAUUGAGUUAUGUUUUUCAGAUGAAUCACCAAGUCCGUACAUUUAUAUAAUUUCAUGCAACUAAAAUUAAUUUAUUAAAAAUAAUGCAGCUAAAAUACUUUGUACUUUUGAUAGUGUCACUAUCAGCUUCAUAUUUUAAAGAAAUUAUUAAUCGUUAGUCUUGAUAAAGUUACACCAUUAUAGAGUUUUUUGUAAUCUUAACUGGUGUUGUAGCAAUUGAAAUCAUCUAGGUAAGAUUAUUAUUAAAGUCUUAACUUGUGAUGUAGCAUUUGAAAUCAUCUAGGUAAGAUUACUAUUAAAAUCUUGAUAAUAUUUGUUUUUUUAUGUUGUUUAUAAACUACAUUUAAUCUUGAUUAUCAAACAAUGCAAGAAUUUGUUGUGUAUAGUUAACGACAUUGGGUGUUGUUUAUAAAUUACACUUAGUCUCGAUCCCUAAAUAAUGCGAGACUUUUGGUAUUUUGGAACAGUCUCUUUCAAAUUGAAGUUAUGAGAUAAAGGGCUUGAAAGUCCUCAAGUAUGACCUAGGUUUGACCUUUAUACGACGCACCAAUGUUCCGAUGUCAAGUCUACAAAAAUGCAUUUUUGAGAUACUUUUGAGUCGUCACAAUUUUAUCAUUCCUAAAAAAACGUCUCAUUAAAUUAAAAGAUGUGAGUGUUGAUUAUAAACUAUUAAUAACUUCAAUUUUCUAACCUAUUUCAAUCUUACGUUUUGAAAAUAGAACAGAUAAAUUUUCCUUUUUCCAAUGAAAGCUUUUUCUCACACUCAAUUACUAAUUAUAAUUGAAUGAUUCAACCAACCUCUCAACACAACUUUAGUUCAUAUGCUAAAAGUAGUUGAGAACACUGUAAACACAGAUGAAACAGAUCUGUAAACGUUUGCACUAUGCUGGAAAAUAAUAUUAAUACCUAAUUUUCAGUACAUAUAUUUAUUUUAUAUGUACUAGUAGAAUAUAACAAGAAAAACAUUUAUUUCACAUACACUUUAUUUUCUACUCUUAUAAUAGCUCAGAUAUCUAAAAAGUCCCACACACAAUAAACAUUACCCUUAACAACAAAACAUCAUUAAAUGAGGACCCUCAACUAUCUCUAGUCUCAAUCUGUUUCCUGUUUUAACCAUUUAUGUCAAAACAUAGUUCAACUCACAUGUUACUUAAUUUCUUCAAAGUUUAUUGCACUUGUUUGAAUUUCCCGCUCUUUUUCAUUGAGGAUUAUUAUUACAAUACUUUCAACUUUAGUAUAUCAUGUGUGCAAUAUUAAUGCACUCAAAAUAUUAUAUAAAAUGUUGUCUAUGGGAGAUAAGGAUUCUGUGCAUUUGGAAGUCUCUACUCUGGGUACCAGGUCUCGAACCAAGUUUCUCGAGUUUGAAGAGAGAUACUCUGAACCAAAUGACUUCUCGGGACACCGACGUGCAUAUGGAAGUCUAGCUACUACAUUAACGCAAUCAAUACAUUAGUCAUUGGUGGAUAACAUUAUAAAGUCGAUAUUUAAAGCUUGAUUAUUUACAUUUUAUAUACGAAAUAUCCAAGUUUUGUAAAUAGUCUAAUUAAUGUUCAAUUCUCAAUGUUGUAUGUCACUAUGAUUCAUUAAUUACUACACAGUUUUGGCUUGUAAAUAAUUCUUGAAUAAGAAUUUUGAGUCUUUUUUGUAAUAAAGAUAGCAAAACCAUCAAACUUACUAAGUAGAAUCGAUGUUUUCCAUUCUAUAGCAUGGAAAAUAUAUCAUAUAAAUAUUGAAGUUUUGUUCAUGGUCUGCCUGAAAACUUUGAUUCCAACUUGCUUCGACAUUGACGGGCAAGACAUGUUAUUGGCAUGUGUUUACUGGACGAAGACGGAGCUUUUGUGUUAGCCAAAACUCUUUGCUUUACUCCUUUGUGUCUUGUGGAUGUCGGUGAAGCGUUAGGAUUAUUUCAUGUUUUAGAAUGACUUAGUGACAUGCAGUUUGAUAAAGUGGACUUCGUGCACAACUCAAAACGAUGACAUGCACCUUCAAUAGUAGGUGUGUAGAUGAUACAGGGUUUGGCAAUAUCUCAAGGAAUAUCUUUGCUUCUCAUUUUACAAACGUUCAGGUGAAGUUUAAUAAUCGACAACCAAAUACAAUUGUUCAUACUCUUGCAUAGACAACCACAUUAUCAGCUACUCCCACCAUUUAUUUUGAUAUACCCUCUUCUAUUGAUACUCUUAUAUUCUAAAGAAAUUUUAUAAACAUCUUUCUUUAUAAAAAUAAAGGAAGAGAUAAAAGUGCGAAUAUACCAAACUUUAACAGCCCUGGUGGAAUCUUUACAUGUAACUCUAGCUUUUGGAUCGAAGUAGUUUAACAUUAGAUCCUUGGAACAUACAUUGUAAGUUGAGUUCCACAAAAAGUAAAAAGUGAUUUAGGGUUUCAUUUUCAACCCUCUUUUUAUUGUGCAGAGAGAAAAUGAAAAAGGUUAUACGUUAUUGUCCAUGUCACCAUGCAAAAUUACCUUUUGAUUUUUUUUAUGUAAGAGUUAAAUAACUUUAAAUCUUUCAUAAUUUAUUUUCUAGCGUCUAAUUUCUUUAUACUUGUCCUUCAAUUAUUUUUUAUCCACAUUUUUGUCUUUCUUUUUGAAGUAAACUCAUGAUUAUCCUUCUAAUUUAUGAUUGAUAUUUUGUAGUCAUGUAUAAAAAAAUUAUUAAAAUGUUGGGUUGGUGUAUUAUCAAUAAAUUUUUCGGUUUCAAACAAACAAAAUUUUAGAAUUUUUUUAAUAAAAAACUGUUUCUUUUUAAGAAAAACAACUCGAUAUCUGACUCAAAGGCCGACUAAUCCGAGCGGUUAGUUGACCUAAACAUUUAUAUUUAAUUUAUCUUUUGUUAAACAGGUCACUCUCUUUAAGACGUUUUGCAGCACUACUCGAGUUUGUGCAAGAUAGACUAACAACCGCGCCACCUUCAGGAUAAAAUAGCUCAGUUCACUUGUUCAAUUACGUAUUGCACCGUAAGUAAUCGUUCGAAAAAUAACAUCCUCAAUAUGGUUUAAUCGUUCGAUUAAACCGUGUUUUUUCGGUGUGAAGAAUGAGUGAGGAGAACUCAUCCUUAUAUAUAUAUUCGUAAGCGCUCACCCGUUUGUAAAACUGGGUACCCCAAGGACACACCCUUAGAGGUCACUCUCCACUUAUAUAAACACUACUAGUAAGUGUGUCCUAACCAAUGUGAGACAUUUUUCAAUUCAUACCAACACUAGUUCUUUCCUAAGGGACAUGUGUUUAUUCUUUCCAACUUCCACUCAAAUCCAACUAGUGUUCCAGCAGAAUGUUUAAUCACAACGCGUUCUUCUUAUAAGUACGAAUAGUGGGGAAUAUGAUUGUCUUGAGAGGAUAAGACAAUCAUAUCCCUGACUCUAUGAUUGUCUUGAGUGGGGAAUAUAAUUGAGCCAUUCUUAAUUAAUCUCUGACUCUAUUAAUAUUUUAAAUUGGUCUUAGUAUUUGUCAAAUGAUGAAUAACCUAAUUAAAAAACUUUUGAUAAAGACAGAAACUAGUUUGAAAUAUGAAUAGAAUCGGUGACUAAUUUGAUAGCUGCUUACAAAAAUAAAGAUCAAUUUGAUGGUUAGCUCCUCCUAGUGAACUAAAUCUAGCCACAAAUAAAAAAAUGUUUAUACUAUACUAGACUAAACUACAGAAGAAGUUCAUUAAAAUAAAAAAUACUUAUCAUAUACUAUACUAUAAUAAUAUACCAAUAUAAUAUGGACUGAAGUUGAAUUGAAUAAUGAGAGAAGAAGUAAGGAGUAAAGUCGGGACUGGAUUCCUCUGCUGAUAUUGUCUUUUAAUAACCAAUCAAUUUUGCAGUCCAAGACAUGGGGCAAUUGUGCAGAGAGGGUCAAAUUCUUCAUGUGUGGCCCUAUAAUCAAAGGGUCCAAACUCCAUUACCCCAUGUCUUGUGGGGCCCACACCACAAUGUCACGUGAUACAACAACCCUAAUAUUGUUUUGAAAUAACAUGAUUCUUUGAGUUCAUACAAUUUAGUGCAUCUUUGUUUGACAUUGAUUUUGACUUAAUGACAAUGUGUCACUGUGAUGUUGGUGAAAAUUUUGUUUCAUCAAUACAAUUGUGACACCACAUUUUCAUCUAACUCAACCUCAAACCAUAUCUGAAAUAGAGUUUGUUGUUCGUUUGCUUUCUAUUCAAGUAUAAAUAAUGAUGCCUUAAAAAAACGAAAGAUUGUUUAGUGAAAAAUUCACGAUAGUCUAUUUGCUAUAUACCAUUCCUAAGUUAUACCCAUAUCCUCCCUUGAAUUCUGUUCAAGAAGAAAUUUAAUUGGCUAACACCUUUUUUUGAUCGGUUUGAGAUAAUAUUCCUCUGGAUGAUGUAUAGUAAUGCUCAAAGAAAAAUUUAAAUCAACGGAUAUAAAUGUAUUUUGUUUAUAACUUGGGCUAAGUGCAUCAACUUUUGUUGAUAAAUUUUUUCUUAUAUAUAAAAUGGAGUAAUACACAAAACUUAUAGGUAACCAAUAAAAAUACCAAUUAAACUAACUUAACUAACCAAGUGACUAGUGUGACUAACUUUUCUAUCUAAUACACGUCUCGAUUGUCUAGCAAUCCUUACAAUAACCAAUUAAUUCAUUUACGAUUUUAAAUUUGAGACAUGAAUUUUGAUUUCUAUAAAUUUGAAAACUAAAUUGUACCCAUAAUUUGAAAUAUCAAAAUAGUUUCAUGCACCAAUGUGUCUAAUAUGUUCCCUUGAAUCUCCAUCACCAAUCCUUCUCUUUCUUCUUCAUCUUCAACCUUGAUCAAUUUCUCCAUGUCUUCUCCUUCAAUCAAAUUAUCAAUGUCAUCCAAAACUUCACACUUCGCACACGGAAACUCUACAACUCUUUUCAACACUCUCUCUGUUAGCUCUGUAAUUGUCCACUGGUCGCAAAACCCAUCCAAAAAAUAUAACCUUUUUUCGCCACCAUUUGGCUUCAAAAUCUCGAUUAAAACCUCAUCGACCAAAUCAAACAACAAUUUUCGAUUCCAACGGUGACAAAGUUGGUUUUUUAUGAUAAUAUUAUCAUUAGUACUUUGUUCAAGGUGGUGGAAGAUUGAUGGGUCAAGUAGGUGUGUUGAAGAGAACCAUUUGUUAAAAGACACAUUUUUUGUUGUUGUGAUUGUGCCAUGUUUGUUUAAGAUUUCAGUGAUGUACUGAAAUUCUGGUUGGUUAGUUUCUAGGGUUGUGGCACCGUUAAAUUUGUCUUCUAUUACUUUGGUGCUUGGUUCUUGAUUGGAGAGUGUGACCGUUCCUUCUUGUUUGUACCUUUGUCUCGAACAACUAGAUAACUGUGGGCAGAGUUUGGAGUCUUGAGUUUCAGAUACCUGUGACCGUUUUUGUUUUUAAUGUUUUUUUUGGUAAGCAACAUGAAAAUACAAAUGGUUAGAAAAAGCAAAGAAGAUUUUAACUUUUAUUUUAAUGAACCUGAAAAAAGAUUAACUGUUUUUUUUAUUACUAAUUUACUAUGAUGGUGAAAUACAAUGUUGUACAUGGAAGGGAAAAUGUGCUAUGCCUUAACAAGGUGGGUACCUGAUUCUUUUUAUUACUAAUGACAUAGUAAAAUAUUUCCCCAUUUUCAUUUUUCUUCUUAAAUAAGAUUGUUAAAUGUUUUUUUUUUAAAACUCGAUAUCUGAUGCAGGGGUUGAUUAAUCAUAUUAUUAAAUGUUUCGAAUAGUAAAAUGCUUGUUUUUUAUGGAAGAAUUGUUAAAUGUUAAGGAUGGUGUGAAUGCUUGUUUUUUCAAUAUCAUAGUAAAAUGUGUAUUUUAAUUAUUUUUCUAAAAUACACAAUAGAAAAAUAAAUUACAUAUGAAGAUGAGGGUAUUAGAGUAAUGUGACUUUCAUAAAAAAUAAAUAUAUUUGAUGAACACAAAAUAUAUAAAAUAAACAUAUGGGAAAUUAGUACCUGUUUGAGAGGAAUUUUGUUAGCCAGAUAAGAAGACUCUGUCCCAAUAGAGAGGACAUUUGAAAUUCUCUUGCUUUUUGUAUUACUUCUGAUGUCGUUUGCUCUAGAAUUUGAUGUUGAACUAAUGUUUAUAUCUGAUGUCUUUGGAAGCCUUUUGAAUCUUGAACUAAACUUUUCAUUGGCAUCUUUCUUACAUUUUGACACUAAUUUCUUGUCACUUGAUUCUUGCUCUUCUUUCAAUGUAUAAGCCUUUGGUUUUGUAUUUUGAUCUGUUGUUGUGUUUGGCUUGUGUUUGUUUUCAAUGAAUCUAAUCCUUGGUGAACAUGAUGAUAUAGGAUUUGAAUCUUUCAAUGAUGUUGUUUUAGGACAUCUCUUGAUUCUUAAUUGUCCUAAAACUUCUUCUCUUGUUAGUAAUUGAUCUUUUCUUGGUAAAUAAUCUGGUUCGUUGGAGUUUUGUUGAAUACCGAUUACCUAAAAGCAAAAACAAUUUAAAAUUAAAUUCACUUCAAAAUAAUGAAAUAUACUAUGUUGCAUAGGUACGGAUACAGUAUCCGGUACGAUACCUGGUACGAUACGAAUACUGGUACGAGAAUACGACAAUUUUUAAAAAUCAAGGUUGCAGUACGUCAAUAAAAUCAUGAGUUUUCUUGUAUAAGAUAAUAGGAGAAAACUAAAUUCUUCAAUUCACAGCAAAAUCAUCAUGAUAAAAGUUUAAAAAAUAAAAAAUUAGAGUUAGUUACCCAGAAAAAAAAAAACCUCAUACACUUAUAAUACUAUGUCAUCAAAUCAAUAUAUAAGAGAAAAUCACAAUUUUCAUCCACAAUAGAAUACUGAGGAAAAAUAGGGUAUCACGAGUACCGUACAUCGGUACAUGUACUUGGUACGCGUGAAUAUCCAGUACAGAUACUUCACCUAAAUACUCAUGCUUCAGAGAUGAAAUAUAAAAAAUAAUAAAAAUUAUAUGACAUUAAAUGAUUAGAUAUCAUAAUAUAUCUAACAAAAUUUAAGGCAUGAAAGUGCUUGCCUGAUUGCUUUUGAGAGUGUUGGUAAUGUCUUGACCAACUUUUCUACUCACAACACUUUCCUUAACUUGUUUCACAAUUUGCUUAGCAUAGUGAUUUGAACUUUUGUAACUAUUCUCAUCAAUUUUCCUCUUUGAAAAUGAAAAUCUAGGUAGCUCAAAAUCCUCACCACCAAUAUUAUUCUCUUUGUUGAUUUGAAGAGAGAGUCUAUGAUGAUCAAAUUCUGUUUUCCUAGAUGAGGACAUUCUUGUAAUUUCACUACUAUCAAUGCUAUUUCUUGCUUUGGUUUGAAAUUGUUGUUGCUUUGUUCUAACUUGGUGAAGAUGUUGAAUAAUGUUGUUCUUCCCUUGUGAAUUUGGUGUUGAAAGAGGUGAAGAAAAAGAGGGUGAGUUUGGAUUUGGAAGAAGAUCCAAACCCAUUAAUCUUGCAACCAAAGUUGGUGUUUUUGUUCCUGGUGAAGUGCUAAUUUCUGAGGACAAAUCAGUCAAAUUUCCACCAUUGCUCCUUUUUGUUUUGAUUUGUAUAUUCUUCUAGAUUUUUUUUAAAAAAUAAAUAAUUAGUAUGUGGGUCAAAAUCAAAAUCAUUACUUUAUAGUACACCAUCAUUACUCACUUUACAAAAUAAACAAACUGAACUAGGAUUUGAAAAAAAGAAACUCAAAAUACUGACUUUUGAUUUUGUCUCCUCAAAAGUUAGUAGAAAAUAUAAGGAAAAAAAUUAGCAUAGUACCAUAUAUAUAUAUAUAUAUAUAUAUAUAUAUAUAUAUAUAUAUAUAUAUAUAUAUUUGCAAAGUUUUGGAUUUUUUUUUUCAUUUGCACUUCAAAUAAUAUACAUAGUACAAUAUACAUUCAAUAUUUUCUGCACCAUUUUCUUUGACAAUUUUUUAAAUAAAAUCUAACAUUUACAGAAAUUUUUAAAAUGUCAUUACACUAAUUUUCAAUAAUUCUAUUUAUAAAAAAUAUUGUUAUUACAAAAAAAAAAAAUUCUAAAAUUAUAUUUUUCUUAACUUCACCUUAUCUUUAUCACAAUUAUUAUCCAUUACCUUUUAAAAAUAAAAACUAAACAUUUUCAAGAAAGUUAACUGAGUCUAUUUAAUACAACACAUAAACUUCUUUAUACAUAUCAUACAUUAUUUUUUAUUUUUUUUUGUACAAUAUCAUAAAAUAUUUACUAUAUGUACUUUAUUUUUUGACAAAAAUACUUUAUGUACUAUAAAGUGAACAUUUUAAAGAACUUGAAUCCAAAAAUACAUAGCUGAAAAAAGAGUGGCAAGAAAUUAAUAAACUUACUGGAAUUUUUAAAUUUUCUUCUUUUGAAAGAGAAGCUGAAACUAUGCUAUCCUCAGAUUUCAAGCUAUUCCUAGGAGCUUCAGCACCUGAAAUUGUACAACAACAUUAAAAAAAGCAGGGAGAAAAAGACAAAGAAAGAAACAUAAAAGGUAGUUAAACAAUAAAACUUGUUUGAAAAAAAUUUAACCUUAAAACAUUGUAAAAAAAAUAAAAUUAAACUUCAUUACUAUACCUUUUGACACACUAGUAGUAGUAGUGUGUUCUUUUGAGAGCCUCUCUCCCGAGAAGUCACUUGGUUGAGAGUUUCUCUUUUCAACCUGAAGAAAGUUGGUUCGAGACCCAGCACCGAGAGUGUGUUCUUUAGAGAUGCAAGAAGAAGAUGUGAUUUCUUGUUGAUGAUUUAUUGUGUUAGGAAAGUGAAAAGGAUGAAAAUCAAAGAAUUGAAAAAAAGCACACAUGCAACCACUAGGUGGUGAUGGUGUAGUUUCAUUUCCUUCAACUAUAACACUUCUUUUGGAAGAUUUUCUAACUCCAUACCAUUCCUUACCCAUAAUUGGUAACUUCUUGAGGGUUAGUUAUUUUGUUGAGUUUGAAAAUAAGGUUGGAAGAUUAAAUGGAAAAAUGGGUUGUCAAAUAAGUGAAGAAAUUUGAAUGAAAUGACACAAUAAGAAUUAGCCUUAGAGAGAGAGAGAGAGAGGGUGGAGAGAGAGAAGUUCUUAGUAUAUGUAAAUGGAGAAGAGAGAAAAGAGGAUCCUUGAAGCAUGAAAGGGUCACAGUGUAAGGAAUUAAGUACACAAACACUGAGAACACAUAAAAAUUGGGAAUAUAAAAUAAAAUGCAGACAAAGAUAUGAAUUUUUUAUCAGUAUACUUUUCUAAUGAUGUAAUAAAAUAUGAAGUAAUGAUAUUUAUAAAAAAAUUCAAAUACACGUACACUUGGCAAAAGUUGUACUAAGAGAAUUAGAUAGUGACUGUGUAUAUUAAACAACACAAAUCUUAUUGGCAAAAGUUGUAGAUUAUAUCACAAUUUCGAAAUCUUAGGGUAUGGACUUUUUAGUGUUAGCAAAGUUAAAAAAUAUAAAAAUUCAAAUGUUCUUUUAACUUUUUUUUUUUUUUUUCCGUUGACGAAACUCAUAUCAUUAACGGUUGAGAAGUAAAUAAAUUGUUAUUCAAACAUGCACCCAACAUAUCAAAUGUCUAUAAAACAUUUACCAUUGGAGUUAUAGUUAUGAGAUGAAUAUUUUAGAGACAUUAUUAAUAUGCAUUAGAUGUGGAUUAAGUACAUGAAUAUUAUUUUUUAACAAAAUUUUUAAUAUUUUUUCAAUAGAUAAUUGUUACUAAUAUAUUAGGGUUAUGCUAACAAGAACACGUGUUAAAGGAUUCAAAAGAGAAAAUAAUUUAUAAAUUUUAAGAAAAUAUAUAUUUUUCCAUCAAUAUUUAAUCAAACGUACAUCCCCAAAGACAUUUGUUAGCAUUUUUCAUAUUAGUUAUUAUCUUAACGUGUAUCUUUCCAUCAAGAUUUGAACUUCAUUGUUUCAUAAAAUGAGCUUUGAAGUUCAACUCAUUCAACUCUUUUAUAUAUAGUGAGUUUUCUCAUAUACAGGCAAACCAGGAUCUAACAUUUUCUUUGUUGGAUGGUGUGAAUAAUUGAAACACUAAUUUUAUUUUAUUGGCAUCUCACCUUGUGUUGAUCGAGUAUACAUUUCGGUCAAAGUGACGAACAUGCGAACUUGAAAUCAUCAACUCAAUUUAUAUCUAAGGUUAUAUGAUUGUUGAAUAAUUACUGGAGUUUUCUAUUUAUUCAAACCUUAAUUAUAGUUUGAUAGUCUAAAUAUUUGAUAUAUGAGUAUGAGCAGUUAAAACAUAUGUGAUUUGUCGAAACAUUGUAUUGGGGUGAUUGCAUUUUUCUUUUUCAAGCUGGGACCAAGGGAAAAAUAUCAACUUUUGUAAGUGUUUCUUGGUUAAUUUUUUUCUUUCUUUUUUCUUCCUCACUAGACUAGCAUUAGACAAUGAAGAAACUAAAAUUCUUAUUAUGCAACCUACGUUCUCAAAUUAACGAAGAAUGGCAAUGUCGCGUAAUUUGAACAUCUCUCCUUUAGAGAUUUUUUUUUUAAAAAGUACGUAAUUUAGCACGGGUUUGUAACUAAUUGAUCUUAAAAAUAAUAUGAUCAUAAAAAAGGGAGAAAUUUAAUUUCAUUGGUUUAACUGAAAAAAUGUUGAAAUUGUUAGGCCGGAUACUAUGAUCGGGGUUUUAACCCCGACACCUCCACUUGUGUGUGUGUGAGUUUAUAAUGACUUUGUCAUUUCGUCUAUCUAUUAAAAAAAAAAUUAUGAUAGUAAUGAUAUAGUAAAAUAAUGUAAGGGGACAAAGGUGUUAUUGUUUCUCAAAAUGGUAUAAUAUUUUUUCUCAAACUGUUUAACUUUAUAGCACUCACUUCCAAGCUCUAACCAGACCAAUUCCAGAAGGGGCCAACGCUGCCCUGAUAUUGGGAAGUGAAAUUGGUUUAAGGAAUUAAGAAUUGGGGGAGGUAUGACGAUAUGACCACGAACCAACGAUUCUUUCUCUCUCAUCGUGUCUAAUCUUCAUUUGUUGGUGAAGCAUAUAAUAUACCCUUGCAUCACAUGAUUUUAAUUUUUUCAAUAGAUAAUUGUUAAUAUAUAGAUGCUUGGAGUAUGCUCCUCUCAAGAUCUCAAGUUCGAUUCUUCAAUACCAAUUUCAUUGGGCAGGUUCAUACAAAGUUUUGUUCUGGCUUUAAACAGAGCCCCUGCAAGUGAGCGGUGGGAUUGGUCCACUCGAAUUAAUUGGUCCUUAGAUUAAAUUCUGAAUAUCAAUAUAUAUAUAUAUAUAUAUAUAUAUAUAUAUAUGACAUGAGAAUGAUUUUUAUAUAUGAGAAUGAUGAGAAUAAAUUGUAGCCAUUAGAUUAAAAGAUAGGGGCUGGGAUUAAAACAACUUAAUUGAGUUGUCAAUUAUGUGAUUAUUCUCUCACUUCGAUACAUCAUUCACAUUCAACGGUUCAAGUAUGUGCCUUAACCCUUCUUUUUCAUUCAAAAGUUUGUGUGUCUUCUUCCCCUCCCGAUUAACAAUCAUUUCCGGUAACCCUGACUCCAGCGACCACAGCCCUCUCCGGCGCAAAACUCACCGUCUUCGUGUCUUCUCCAUAGCUCUUUCCCUCUCAGAAGUCUUCUCUCUUCAACCAUUCACAUUUAUGUUUACGUGGACAUUUAAAGAUCAAAAUGAAAUAUAUAUUAACUUAUCCAAACAAAUCUUUUUACAGCUCAAAUAGUGUCAGCAAAGACUACAAGUAUCAUUACAAUGUUUCAUACAAAAUCAAAAACACAAAAAAAAAAAAAAAAAAAACAGCCAAGAAACAAAUGUCAAACAUUGAAGAGGGUUAAACCAUCAGUUAUGGUAUUCAUAAACGAAAGUAGCGAGCAUAUCUCGCUUUCAACCAUCAAUAAUAUUGAAGCUUCAUUUUUUUCACAUAAAGUAUGCUUAUUUUCCUCCGUUUGUUGAAACAUGUGUCAAAUUUUUUUCUUCAAAUAACCGAGAAAGAAGAGAGCCAAAUAAUCUUCAAACCCAAUAGAGCCUGCUUAGAAAAACCACACUAAACAGCAAAAAUGUUCAAGAUGUACAUAAGUGUCGUCGUGAUUCACUGUAACAACGCCUAACCAAUUUCAAAAUGAAGAUAUUUUGUCUUUUGGUUUUGUCUUUCUAGUUUUGUUUUGAUUGAUGUUUUAAGUAGUUUUUGUACUUCACUCGCUCAUUCUCGAUCAUUCACUUCAUACAAAUCUUUUUUUGUAAGUUGGUGAAAGGAUAAAAACAAGUUGACAUUAUUCAUUUUCUAAAAAUUCUUUGUCUGACACUUUGAUUCAAAUUUAUGUCUCUCACUGAGUCGUUUGAUUCGAUUCAGUGCUUGCCUUGGGAAAUCAUGUUUUGAAUCAUGAUUUGAAUCAUUACUCUCUCCUAGUCACUUUGAUUCGAUUCAUUCCACUCUUAUGUAGUUGUGAUUCGAUUCAAAUUAUGGUCAUUCGAAUCAAUCUUUAUCUGAAAAACUCAUAUUCAAAUCAUUGUUCUUGUUUAUCGACUUGACCUUUAUAACAACUCAGAAUUCAUAAAAUACAAUAUUGAUUCUAAUCAAGCUUUUUUCUUAUUUGAAUCAAACACACUUUUUUAUUUUUAUUUUUAGCCCAACUUGUUCUUAUCUCACUUUCCUAUAUAUAGUUUUCUACACUUAUUAUUUAACUGAUUAAAUCAAACUGCAAAAACACUCUAAAGUUUCUUCUCUCUCUUUUUCCACAUACCUCUUUAGAUUAAACACUUUUUUUAAGAACACUUGUAGGAUUUUAGAUCUAGAUUGUUAGGGUGCUAUAGGAUAAUUGUAAGUUUGGUUUCAUUCAAGGAUCGUUGUGUAGCAUCAAUGAUCUAGAGGAAAGGGAGGUACUUUUCACUUCCAUAGGUAAUAGUGUGGGGUUGUUUUUUAAACAAUCAAGGUUGAAGGGGAUCAAAGUGAGGCUAUAGGAAAAAAGAUUUCUUAUGCAAGAAGUGAAAGUUGUUUCUAUCUUUUGACUAUUUUUGAUUAAGUAGCUUUUUUUUUAGUAAUGUCAUUAGUCUUAGUAAAGCACCCUUUCAGUUACAUCACAUACUCUACACAAGUUUAUUGUUAGAAAGGUUGUGAUGUUUGGAAUCAAAUUUUGUGUUCAAUGUCUCCAAAGUCUAUUUUAAGUUAUUUGAUUCGAUUUAUUAAUUUAAUUCAAGCUAUUGGGUGUUCGGCUUAUGAACAAUUGUUCAAAAACAUUUUUUUUAAUGUUUUGAUUCGAUUCAUGCAUAUGUUGAAUCGAUUCAUUCAAGUUCUCAGGGUGUUUGACUCAUGGAAAUUAAUUUUGAAUCAAUUCAAAAUUAUUUGUUUCAUAUCAAUCUUCAUCCGAAUCGAUUCAAAGGUUGUCUGAUUCCCAUCAAUCUUCAUGACAUCUAGGAUUUCAUAUUUUACACUAUUGCAUCGACUCAAGACUCUUCUGAUUCGAUUCAAACCCAUUUUUUCAGUAUUAUUUUGGGUCAAACUUACUCCUAUCUCACUUACCUAUAUAUACUUCCAUCCAUUUAUUCUCUCACUUAGUGAAACAAUUUGCAAAUAGGCUCUAAAAUCUUCAAACACACACACACACUCUCUCUCUCUCUCUCUCUCUCUCUCUCUCUCUCUCUACAUCUUCGUCAAAUUAAAGAAUUUUUCUAAGAUCUUUGUAUAAUGUAAGGUCUAGGUUGUUAGGGUGUUAUAGGACUUGUAAGAUUCGUUUCUCUCAAGGCUAUUGGUGGUGGAUAAAAGACUUGAAGAAAAGAAGGCACUUUCACCUCCAAAGGGUUUUGGGGGUUAUUUCUCAUCAGUGCAAGGGUCAAAGUGAUCAAAGCUUCGGACAUAGGAAAGACGAAUUCUCAGAGAUAAAGUUAUGAGAAUUGCAUGGACGGUUGAGUAUCAAAGAUCUUAUGCGUGUCCAAUUUCAUGAGGUCUUGAAGAUUGGAUCUUGUGUGAUUCCUUAGCAUAUAAGAUUAGGGAAUCGAAGGAAUCUUUGUAAUCAUACACUUGUAAACAUUUUUUAUCAGAGUGGAAGACCGUGAUAGAGACAUUUUAUAUCAAGAUGAGAGGAUGUACCCCUAGUGAGGACGAAAAUGGCAAACCUCUAUAAAUCUAGGUGUUAUUCUCUUCACAAUCCUUUUGAUUUCAGCUUAUAAUUAUGUAUAUGAAUUCAUUGUAUGAAGCAAUCAUUAUUUGAUUGUGAGUUCACUAUUUUCCAAAACCUAAUCUCAAUUUCAUCAAUUGAGAUAUCAAUUCAAUUUUCUCACAAUCAAAGUUGAAAGUUAACUUCAAACAAUUGCUUCAUAUACCUUGUGUUCAUAGUUGUUAGUGUGAUUUAUUGAUAAUAGUUUUGGUUUGAGAUAGUUUAGUUUUGCAAUUUGAAUGUGUAUAUUGAUAUUUAAAUCUUUCCUUUCAUUGCCUUACUUUUAUCAUCAUUACCAAACACGAUCCAAUAGUGAUAAUCGAUUUUAACUCACGGAUUUGUAAAAUCUUUUGAAAACGAAAAACGUUACUCACCCAUCUCUAGUGCACUUCCUGUAUCGUAAUAUAGACUAAAAAGUGGCAUCAAGAGCCUGGUUCUCUUCACUAACUGUUAAUCAUCAGAAGAGUCGAUAUGACGAGCAAAGAGUCUAAAAUGGAGCACAAUGUAGCUCCUAUUUUUUACCGUAAAAAUUAAGUAUGACUAUUGGAAAGAAUGCUUGAUUAUUUACAUUCAAUCGGUUAUCAUGGAUGUUUGGGAUUCCCUUGUCAAUGAGUGGUUUGAACAGCAAGCUGAUUGGACAAAUGAUCACAAGAAAAAGGUUCAAUACAAUUUGAAAGUAAGAAACAUACUCAUUUGUGCCCUCAGAGUAAAUAGUACCAUUCAGUUUCGCAUUGUAAGACCUCUAAAGCAAUAUGGGACGCCUUGGAAAGCCUCCUUGAGGGUACCGAGGACGUUAAGAAAUCAAAAAUCAAUACCCACAUCCAACAAUAUGAGCUAUUUCACGUAGAUAAUUUCAAAACUAUCUCGUUCAUGCAAAUGAGGUUCACUUGCAUUGUUAACAAAAUAAAAAACUUAGGAAAAACCAUCCCAAACUAAGAUUGUACUAACAAGGUGUUGAGAUGCAUGACUGGAGAAUAGCAGCCCAAGCUCACUGCCAUCAAAGAAUCUCAGAACCUCAACACUCUUGAAAUCACUGAUGUCUUUGAUAAACUCAACGAGCAUGAGCACAAGAUCCUCAGGUUGAAAGUUAAUAAGGAAGAUAUCAAUAAAAAGAAAAUAAGUCCAUCCCGAAAGCUUCGUCUUCAAAGGAUAAACGCUUGGUGGAAGAGGAUAAUGAUAUCGAUGAAUACCUUAUCGAGGAUGAGAAGAUGGAAAUAUUUGUGCAUCAGUACCAUAUAUACAUUGAAAAAAAAAUAGACUGAAGCAUAGUGACAAAAAUCUCAUAAACUUUAGGAUAGAAAUUCUCGGAGUAUCUAAAUUCAAGAAGGAAGAAAAUAUGCCAAAUUGUUAUGGAUGUGGAAAAUUGGAUCACUUGAAAAGUGAAUGUCCAAAAUUGACCAAAGCGUGUAGAAAGUCCAACUUUAAUUUCAAUAGAAAGAGAAAAGAAAGGAGAGCAUAUACUGCAUAGGAUGACGGUGAUAACUCAUCCACUCUAAGUGAUCUGGACAAUAGUGAUAUUGACGACCUGUCUCAUGGGACAAAAGCAUCAUGAAGUAAUUCAUUCCGACUCCGACUCCGAUUAUAAUCCUUCUUAUAGUGAAUUACAAAAUUAUCUUGAAGAAAUGCAUGGUGAUGCAGUGAAGGCGUUUAAGAAAAUAAGUGCCCAAAAUAAGGUAAUUUUUAAAUUGGAAGCGGAACUCUUAAAACUCUGAAAUUCUUUUGAAUCUUUAAAAGAUAAUCAUGCAUCUUGAGUAAAUGAGCAUAUUGUAAUGCCCUCCAUUGACCCACCUAAAUAUGAUUCAAAUUGGAUGGAUUUUUUCUAAGUGUGAAGUUUGUCCUAGUCUACACGUAGAGAUUAAAUCUCGAACAUGUAUCUAGAACAAGCCUCCAAAGCUCCCACAUUUUUUGCUAUAAAUCUAAAAUGUGAAAGGGCUCAUUUUAAAAGACCUUAUAAAAAGUAAUCUUAUGUUAAAAACAACAAAAUUAAAGCAAAUUCCACGGACCUAACAUUAGGUGUAACUAUUGUGGAAGAAGUUGUUAUACCACACAUCAUUGCCACAUUAGGAAGGUUGAAGUUCCAAGAAUUCUUAGUUGCGCAAAAAAUCCCAUGGGCCUAACAUUUGUUGAGGACUUAAAGGCUCCAAAGUGGUUGACGUCAAAGGAUAUUUCCAUUGCUUUCAUAAUUUAGUUAUGGAGAUUAUGGAGUAAUCCGACAUCUGUAGGAAUAUUAUUCCUAGAGUAAACUAUUGUUUAUAUAAUCCAUAGGUUUUAAUUAAUAGGUACUUUGAAUUAAUCUAACAUAGAGGGAAGAUGGGAUUCAAAGAUUCCAUAAUCACUGUUACACAUUUAAAUCACACAAACCUAAUCUCGCAUUGGGCAGGGCGCUUAAACCCUGCAAACCUUUUUUACAUCUCUUUCUAAUAAGUUUUGCUAAUUACUGAGUUGACUGAUAAUUCAUGUGCAGACGAUAAAUUUACUACUUUAUUACUUGUUACAAUUUGGUGCACUUGUCAAUUUUGUCCAUCAGGGAGAAACUAGGGGGUAUUAAGAAUCCUAAAAUGUGAUCGUUAAUCAAUAUUCAUGUUCCCAUCCUUUCUCUAAUAUAUUUUUUAAUGUUUUUAAAUGGUGAGAUACACACGUGACAUUAUGGUUUAUUUUUAAUUCAAAAACUACCUAUGUGGCAUCCAACUCACAUAAGUGAGGAGCCAUAUAGGCAUUGUCUAGGUAAAAAUUAGACACUUGCAAAAUGAGGUAAAGUUAGGGGCUGGACUUUUUUUAAUAGGGGCAAAAAAAUAUUGGUCUAUAUGUUAAGCUAGAAUACGCGCUAGAAGGGGGUGAAUAACAUUUUUUUUUUUUUUUUAAAAACCGAGUUUAGCGAAAGCGUAUUUGAAAAAGAGGUUGACUAAUUGGAUUCGUGCUUGAUAUCAAUAACAAAAUUAAAGCAAUGAAUAAUACAAUAAUAUUUACUAUUGAAUUGAGAGAUUCAAUUGCUAAAUCUUAAUACAAUCAACUAUCAAUAAUUCUUAACACAAUAUACAAAACUAGACAAUUCUCAAACCAAACCUAAAAGCAAUAAAACAAACUAUUACUAAUGAACACAAGGUAUAUGAACUUGAUGAAUUGAAAACUUGAUUGAAUUCAAUUGUAACGAAUAUUGAGUUAGAAAUAAAACUUAUUUCAAUGAAUCAAGACUAGGUAUACAAUUAAAGCUUUGAUCACAUUCAAACCAAUAAGCAACAAUUAUCAAACAUUCAUAUACAAAAAAUAACACAAAGUAAAAGAAGAAAGGUUAGAGAAACAACAUCGAGAUUUAUAGUAGCUCCCCCUUUCCUCUUCGCUUCGGGGUACAUCUACUCUUCUUGAUAGAAAAGGUCUCUAUCAAAGACUUUCACUAAAAUUGAAAUUUGAUUACAAUGUUGUGAUUACAAGAACUCCUUCAAUUACCCUAAUUUUCAAUUCAUAUGCAACCACAACCCCCAAUUUUCAAGUAACCUUUGAAAUUGGUGAUUCUCCAAGUCUUCGAAUCCUCAAUCACCCAUGGAAUCCUUGAAGCUCUUUACCUCAGACUCUUCUUUGCUAUGUCCGGUGGUUGGAUCCCCUUGAACUUGAGAAGAUUAAAAAGAACCCCCACUACCCUUGGAGGUGGAAUGAAAUUAGUUAAUUCACUUUGGAACCUUGAUUCCCAACCAAGAUCCUUGAAAGCAAUAAACUUACAAUCCCUAUAAUACUCAAGAAAUCUAUGACUCAAACACCACAAUGAUUCUUAGAAAAAGUGUUUAAUCUGAAAAACAAGUGUAGAGAGAGGUUUGGAGAUUCUAGAGAGAAUAGAUGUAAAUGAUUUAGUAAUUUGGGAGUUGUGAGGAUAUGACUAUAUAAAUAUAUAGAAAUGAGUGAGAAGUGCAAAAUUUCGACCAAAAAAACCUAAAUGAAUUUAAUCAUUAGAAUCUGGAACUAUAAAAAGGAUUAAUCUGAAACUAUGAAGUUGAUACGAAUCAGACAAUAUAUAAUUCGAAUAAACCUUGCCCAAAUGAAGGUUGAUACAAUUCACGAACAUGUGAAUCGAAUCAACGCAUUGAAAAACAAGUCUAGAAAGAAUCAUUGAUACAAAUCACAUAAAUUUGAUUUGAUUCAUAAAUGAUACAAUUCAAAAAAUCAUCAAUUGUAUCAAAAUGCCUGAUACAAGCCUAGCAAUGGAAGAGAGGAGAAUUGAUACGAUUCAGAAAACUUUGAAUCGAAUCAUGUACAUAGAAAAAGUUUUCUGACUCAAAAGGAAGGUUUUUAUGCAAAUGAAAAACAUUGCUUGACAUUUAAGAAUCAUAUGACUUGACGACAAAGAGUGUUGGGUGCCUUAAAAAGUUUCUAGGCCAUAGCUACUAACUAUAUAGACAUCAUCUAGGAAAACUAUAGCUCACAUUCUAUAUUAAAACAUCAUCAAAACAAAACUAAUGUUAUAACCAACUUCAAAAAUCGCAACUUUUGAAAAGUUAGGAGAUCAAAAGUGCAUUUAAGCUAGUUGUUUAUUCCCCAAAAUGAACCUUGCUUAAUAUUAAAAUGUGAUUCAUAGAGAUAAAAGACAAGACAAAAAACAAAGGAGACUAGAAAAGUAUUGCUUCAGAUUGGAUUUCAGCCCAUACAAUGGCCCAAUUCAAGAGACCUGAUAACCCAUAAACCAUCUUAAAGGCGCUUAGGGAAGGUCACUUGUGAGCACUAUCCUAGAUUGAUCUGAUCGUUCAAUUGAUCUCUAAUUGACUCUCACGUUCUUUGUCGGGUUUCACGGAAGCUUCUACAGUAACUCGUCUAUAUAAGCAUGACAUCACCGCCAUACCCAAGUAUUUUACACGCUUUACUUCUCUCUCAAGUUCACAUAUUGACUUGUACGUCGGAGCACUUACUUGUUUUACAAGUUUCUCCCCACCGUCGAGGAAUAGUCUCCGUCGUAGUCUAGUGGAUAUGAGCAUCUAGAUCGCGUCAUCCUAUAUCCGAUCACCCGACAAAUAACGUAAAAAUAGUAAAGCCACAAAAGUCUAAACUAUCCUCUAUACAUUUAACAUUGUUACAUUGAUUUGUUUCAAUCAAUACUACAACAACGUGUCCUAGUUGAAUAUUAUUAGGUGAUGUUUUUGAGACACAUUUUAUGUUGUCAAUCGGGCUAGAGUUGAAUGACCCUUGUUCAGUUGUUUGAUAUUGAUGUUUGUAUGCAUUUGAUGUAUUGCUUUAUGAGGCUUACACUUUAUCAAUUUUGUUGAAAAGAAAAGAAGUUAGUGCAUGCCAUGUGAGAAACUAUAGAGCAAAAGAAUGACCAAAAAGUGUGUGCAGUUUCUCCGACAGUUGAAAGUAUGAAACCACUUGAAAAAUUACCUGUUUGUCAGGACCUAUAGGCCUAGAGCAACACUUACAUUAAUAACAUUGGUAAAUAAAUAAUCAUGCAAAAAGGGACCACAAGAACCCCCAUCCUUUCAAAUGUUUCUAUUCUCCAUGUUUGAUUGGACACCAUAUAGUUUCUCAUUCAUCUCACAUGGACAUGAAUAUGAGCAAUUAAAUGUGGUGUCGUUUUCGAAAGUGAAGUGUUGUAGAUGUGGUCCUGCUAUCUGGGUUAUAAAUUAUGGAGCUUGAAUGAAAAUUAUGAAAGCUCAUACUUAGCUCAAAAUUCAAUUGCAUAGCACGUGUUUAGAAAUCUCAUGUACUAGUAGUUAUUUCGUAAACACGGCACUCAAAUAAAUGGAAUUAUUUUAAAAGAAUUAUCUUCAAAUUUGUUAGAAGAACAACCAGUAACAGAAGAUUAAUAAGAAACGAAAAAUAAAAUGUACUAAACACACGAUAUUUGUUAACGUAGUUUGAUCAAUAUUGUCUACUUCUACGACUAUAUAACAACUAUAAUUAUGUUUGUAUUUUUUUUUUUUUUUAGGUAGGUUAGUGGCUAGAAUUCACCUUAUUUUAAGGUGAAUAAGUGGGGUGUCCGAGGUUCGAACUUCAGUCCCUGCAUAUAACAAUGCAUGUCUCUGCCAACUGAGUUAUGCUCACGGGGACAAACAAUAUAUAUAUAUAUUACUAAUAUUAUGAUUUAGUUUACAAAAUUACAACUUACCUUCUUUAAUGUCUUGUAUCUAUGAGGCAUACUUUAACAAAAUGCUAACAUGUGAUUAAAAAGAAUUUAAUUUUAGUCUUGCACUUCAAAUGUUUAGUUUUUUUCUCAAUUUUUUGUUUGUUUUAACAAUUUCCAUUCUUUGAAAAAGAUGGUUUUAUAUUCUAAAGCUCAACAAAAAAUAUCUAAACUCUAGUUAAUGAUUGUUUAAUACAAGUAUGCUUGUUGUAUUGGUUUUAUAUCACUAGGUUAUAAAUAACGUUUUUCAAUUAAAAUGAUAGAAAUAUUUUAUUUUCUAAAAGUUAAGUACACUCACCUCACCACUGAACAUUUUUUCUACCCUUAGUUUAACCAAAACAGGCAUGUAUAUAUACUUUAGAUUUUACUAAAUCCACUAAGAGCUUACAGAACAGGGACAUUCAAUCUGAUUACUGGUGUGUUAAUGCAUGCUCACAGCAAGAUAUGGGAGUAACAAAUAAAUAAUAUUCAUCAGAAAACUUUAUAAAAUGCUAAAAAGAUAGUGUUCUUUAUCUUAACUUUUCAAUUAAAAAAUUGUUGUGUAUUUUGAAACUAACAUCUUAUAAGAAACCCUAACUUAUACACACAUUUUCAUACAUAUAUCCGUUAUACAGACUAUAUAUAUAUAUAUAUAUAUAUAUAUAUAUAUAGUAGGAACAUUUAAUAAAUGAUAUGCUAUAUAGUUAUUAUUUUCCUUUUGAAUGUGCACAUGAGGUCAUCUUUCAAACAAGAUUCAAUAUUUUUGCACAAAACUUUGGCAGAUUCCUCUUACAUUAUUCCUGAACCUCUUACACAGUCCUCCAUAUUCUAUGUUAAAAUUAUAUUUCUAUGUUAUGUUAUUAUAUCUUAAAUUUGAAGUGGUUCAGCUUCGCGGGGUUCUUUGAAAGAUCUGAAAAUAUUAUAUUAUACUAUAAAGUAUCGGAAUUAAUCAUUUUUGAGUGGCUACCAUAUGAUUUCAGAUCAGGUAGAAUGUCUUCAUCAAAAAAAUAAAGAGAUUCAGGUAACAUAUGCAAAAAAUUGCCUGUAUUUUUCUUUGUAAGUUUAAUCCUUACUUAAUUUUAAUAGGUUUUUUAGUCCUUACAAAAAAAUAUUACUUCUAAUUUUAGUCCCUGUUACAACAAAGUUUGUUUAAUUAUUCUUAAACUCUUAAAAAUUUUGAACGAAUUUUUUAAGACAAGUUUAGAACACUGUAAUAUGUUCAUUUACCAAAAUUUAGAUUUUUUUUAACAUGAAACGAAUUAAAUAUGAAUUUUUUAAAACGACAAAUGUUAAAGAUAAAAUUAACAAAGUCUGGCCGUAGAAAUCAAAUUUUGCGACAAUUUUUUGCAGAGGAACUUUUAGUAAUGUUCUUAAUACGUAUGUAAAAAUUGUUUAAAAACUCAAGAGUUUAAGCAUAGUUUAAACAAAUUUGAAUUGAGGAGGGACUAAUAUUGAGUGCAUAAAAAAAAUUUAUGGACUAAAAAACCUAUUAAAAUUAAGUAAGGACUAAACUUAAAAGGUCCCAAUUUUGUAGGGACAAAAACAUAUUUAACCCUUUUUUUAAAGAGGCCAAAAUGGAAUAUAUUACCAAAUCAAAAUAUCCUUCAUAACACAAGAUGUGUCAUGGAAGAACAGAAGAGUCAAUACAAUGUUUACAUGUCGAAAAUUAGUAUAAAAACUACUAAAACAAGGAAAGAAAUAACAAUUAGCCAAUGUCCAUGAUAAUUGAGUUGGGAAAGAAAAUGAAACAUUUGCAAAGUAUUAUUAAAGGGAAAAUAAACAAAUUUCGCCUUCAACCACGAGAAGGAAAGUGACUUAACUUUAUCCACUAACCGCAUUAUCCAGCAUUCUUUACCAUUUAAAUAUUCUAUUAUUUCUUUCUUUCCAUAUUUCUCACACAGUUGCAAACGAAAUCAGAUGCAAGAUGUAUUUUUCUUUGUUAUGAAAUUCAUGGAUAUUCUCCUAUCACAAUGUUGAGAAAUCCACGAAAGAAAAUCUCUACAAAAAAUAUAUAUAACUAACAUAUCAAUUGUGGUUCGAUAAUUUACACCUACAUAUACAAUGUCAACAUGAUAAGUUAUUACGCAACCAUUAAUCUUUUAAAAAAACAAUUUCAAACUCUCUCAUGACACACAACUACCUAAACCACCUAUACUCUCAAGAUGCUUCAUACUAAAAGAUGCUUGCAAGUUUUUCCCAACCUAUAUUAAUUAAUUUUAUGUUCUCUAUUCAUAUAUUUCUGUUUUUAUCUCUAUUGACAUUUUUUGUUAGAGUGUUACAUAAGUCAUGAAUUUUAGAUUUUCAUUUUCAAAUGGAGGGAAAAAUUUUAAACUUGUGACACUAAAAUUAGACAAAGGGUACACACUUGAAAUAAAUUAAUAACACGUUACUUCAUAUAAAAAAAAUUAGGGUUCACAUUAAUUUUCUAUAUGUGUACAGCUAAAAACAUGACAAUAUAGGGAAAGAAGUUAAAAAGGUAGGGAUAUCUUUUUUUUUGAAGAAGAAAAAGGACACAUUUAUACUAACAUAGCACAAAGAUUAUGAUAGAACAUAUAUCUCUCUGAUAAUGCUGUCUGGGUAUAUAUAAGUGGUUAUGUUUCAAAUUUCUGAGUCUUUAAGGCAAAGUAUUAUUGAGUAUGGGAAAGAAAAUGAAACAUGUCCCAUUCACUAUUGAUGUAUAAUUACCUAAACAAAAUUAUUAUAAUUGUUUUGUUUUAAUUGAAAGGGACAUAGAACAUGGGGCCAUUUAAUAAAAGAGAGAAAGGUACUGACUUAGCUCAAAAAAAUUUCUUCUAUCUUAAAUUAUAUGUCCGACCAGAAAAGUCAUUAUUACUAUUCAUUAUUGGAUAUUAAUAAAAAAAAAUUAUUAAACACAAUUAUACUAACAUAGCUCAUGGAUAUUAAUAAAAAAAAUUAUUAAACUACAUUUAUACAUAGCUCAAAUUAUUUUAUUUUUUUUGACAAAGUCAGUUUUUUUAAUUAGUUGAUUAAUAUUUUUAUUCAAAUUUUAUUCUAAUUAAGAUGUUUUAUACACUAGAGGAUUGUAACAAAAUAAAAAAAUAAAAAAGUAAAUAUAUAUAUCCUAGACCUAGAGGAUCCACUAACAUAUUCGUACCAUGGUUUUUGGAUUACCAUGUUAUAGCUAUGAAGUUUUCAACAUUGUUUAACAAUGACUAAUUUGUGUUGAAGAGCAUGUGGGUUACACAAGGUGGCUGCUCCCCUUCAAUAUGUUUUUGAUCCCUAUAAAUAUACCAACUUGUCGUUUUAGUUCCUCUAAAAUUUUCCUUCAACUUUUUGUCCCUAUAAAAUUUUCAAUCGCUACUUUUGGUUCCUAUUUUUAAGUAAAUUUUCAUAUUUUUAAUUAAAUUGUGCAGAAAUGUAUGAAAUAUUGUAAAAAUCACUCAAAAAAAAAAAUAGAAUUUUUUAACAAAACAUGAAUUAAAUAUGAAUUUUUUACCGCCAAAAAUAUAAAAAUUCAUAUUUAAUUCAUGUUUUGGUAAAAAAUUCUAAACUUUUUUGGGAGAGAUCCUUGUAAUAUUAUACAUUUUUCUGCAAAAUUUUAUUUGAAAAUAUGAAUUCUACAUAUGAGUUUACUUUAAACGAGGGACCAAAAGUAAAGAAUGAAAAUUUUAUAGGGACUAAAAGUUGAAGGAAAAUUUUAGAAGGACUAAAACGAAAAGUUAGUAUAUUUAUAGGAACCAAAAACAUAUUUAACCCUAGAAAUUUUAAUAUGUUAUUAAUUUUUGUAAAGCUGGGCCUAAUUAAUAAAUUAAUUGGACCACUUAUAUGUUCAUUUCCAGCCCAAUUAUUCAUGAGUUAGCAUAACUUAUUUAAUAAUAAAAUAAAUAAGGCAAUUUCUACGGUACACUCAAUAAAAUUGAGUGUAUAGGUACACCCAUAUGUUAAAUGAAUAGUUUAAUGAGUUAUUUUUUUUAGAAAAAAUAUAUUUUCUAUUGGUUACAAUUAUAAUAAUUAUAUUUUAUUUCUCAAAAGUGUCGGCAAAUCAAAAUUCAAAUUUUUUUAAUUUUUAAUACCCAUAAUAGUGAAUAUUGAUUUUUUUUGGAUAAAAUGUUAAAAAAUUAGUAUGAUUCUUAUAAAGGAUGAAAUGACGUUUUUUCUUAUAAAAUAAUAUUUUCUAAAAUAUAAAAGUUGAUAAAUAUCUCUUUAUUACAUAAAAAUGAUCGAUAACUUAUUGAUUUAUGAAAUAGGUAUACUGGUACACUUUAAUUUAAGGGUGUACCAUAGAAACUCCCCAUUGUAAUGCCUAAUAGUUCCACCUGUAUAAGAUAUAUCUCUGCAUAUUUUAGGUCAGUGAAUAUUAGUACGUAUGGUAUGUUAUGUAAGUAUGUAGGCUAAAGCAUAGGCACACACACUAUUCCUUAAUAAAAUCUACUAUUAGUACGUAUCAAAUAUCAAUGAUUUUAUUUGUCUUGUACGAAAAAGGAUGGAAAAGAAAAGUGAAAUGCAGGAGAGGGGAUAACGAAUGUGCUUGUUUGAAUCCAGAAAUAGAUGUUUUAAUUCUAUGAUUGAAAUAUCUUUCAAAAAAAAAAAAUUAUGAUUGAAAUGUAUAUCUUGGAAACAAACAAUUCGUGUCCUAUGUGGUGUAAUUUUCUUCUGCAAAAGUUAGGCUAAAAAAUUAUUCUCUCUUUGAACAAGAAUUGUUACUACUCCUUACUUUCAAUGACCCCAUUAUGAAUGACACGUCAAUCGUAAUGCUAAUAGUUACAAAAAUAAAGCAAUUAUUCUAUGUAUGUACGUAGGGUUCAUUUUUUUCAAUCUAAUUUUAGAGAGCAAGAGCAAUGAAUACAUUUUUUUUAAUUUUCACAUGGUACUUUAGUAUUUUGAAUUCAGAAGAAAGAACAAGAUGAGAGUUCCAUUAAUUGUUGCAUGGUGGUUAUAGCAUUGAGCUUCAUUAAUAGUUGACAUAUUGUCUCCGUUGGCAUAACUCAGUUGACAGAGACAUGUAUUGUUAUAUGCAGGGUCUGGGGUUUGAAUCCCGGACACCUCACUUAUUUACCUUGGGAAAGGUGAAUUCUAACCAGUAGUCUAUCUGAAAGAAAAAAAAAAUAGUGGACACAUCUUAUUUGUUUUAAGGGUUAUGCUCUAUUAUUUGUGUUAGUAGGAUAUGAGUUGCGUUGAUGUUGGCUUGUUUUUUAUAUUUCGUUUGGACUUGGGUUGUUGCAUUGUGACUUGUAAUUGUAUUUUAUAUUAUUGACACAUCUUAUGACUUGAGCAGUUUUCGUUAAUUUUUCUUUUAUUAAAAAAAAAAAAAACAAGAUUAAGAUAAAGAAUUACCGGAUUGGUUUAAGGUUAAUCAAUAUGAAUGGUGACUAGGAAAAUAGAAUUUACAUAGUCUACUCAAAGCAUUUUUUUUUUUUGUCAAGCAUUAUUUCUAAGCAAUGUAUAUUCAAUCUCAUGAAACCAAAAAUAUAUUCAAUCUCACGUCCGUAUAUAUGUCUUAAAUUAGGAGUGAUCACAAGUUUUCUCAUUAUUUCCUUCAAAAAAAAAAAAGGUUUUCUCAUUAUUACCCCUAUUAUUACUAAAAAAAAAAAGCAUUAUUUUGAAAGGAAGAAAUAUUGUUGAAUCCAAGAGCCGUUUAACAUUGAGAUUUUAUUUUGUAAUACUCAAAUUAAUUAGAUGUCAUUUUUUUUUUUUUUUUUAAGAAAAGGUGCUUAUAGCAUUUCAUUUAUAAUUGAAGAUUCAAUACAAUUGGGUAUAGCAUAAUAAACUACAGCACUAGCUAAUAAUGUGGCCUCUUCAGAAUGAAACAUAGAACGAGACGCUUCAACAAUGUGCCCAAAUUCAGAUAUAUCAUCUCGUCUAGCGGUAAAAGCAUCUUUCCUGAUUUUUGAAUCUACUUCAAAAUCAAUGUUGUCCAUUUGCAUAUCACUCAACCAUUGAAUAGCAUGGAACAAACCUAAUGCUUCUCCCACCUCAACAGAGUACACACCUUCAAAGUUCACAAUUUUGGCAAGGACAAAAGUCCCUUCGUCGUCUCGCAAGCAAAUGCCAACACCGAUGCGGUUAUGGGGGAUAGAAAAAGUCGCGUCAACGUUACAUUUCAAACGACCACUCGCAGGGGGCUGCCAUUUGAUCUGUUGCAGUUCAGCAGUAGUAGAUGCCGCAAGAACAGCAACUGAACUGUUCACAGCAGCAGCCUGUUGCUGCAGACCGGUGCAGGCUGAGUUGCGGGCUGCAUAUCUGUUCGCAAACUGUUAGCGAACUCCCAAUCAUCUAGCAUAACUUUAGCUCUUUCAAUCACAGCUGCAUGACUCCGUAACAUCCUCCCAAACCUUUAAAUUACGGUGUUUCCAUAAACUUCAUAAUAGCAUAACCAUUUGUUUUGCCUUCAUAGUAGAGAGAUUCUGCAGAAGUGAAAAAAUAGCCUCUUCACCCGUAUGAGCAGUAGCAACAAAAAUCAAUAUCAGUCCAUAAACCGGCCCUUGUCCAUAGUUGAAUCGCAAAGGGACAUGAAAAGAACAGAUGAGCAAACUCUUCUCGACCAGAAUAGCAAUUUACACAGUCAGUUGGAUGAUGAGUCAAUAAGUAGUCGUUUUAGUAUAAUAUUUAGUUUCGUUUUAUUUAGAUUUAAGUUUAUUUUAUUUAAAUAUUAUUUCCUUUUAGAGCUAUUUUACUUCAAUUGCAUAUUAUUAUAUUUCAGGAAUGAAUAUUUGAUGGAUUGAAUCUUGGAGCAAAAGAAAGGGGUUUGGAGCUGAUUCAGAGCAAAAAUACGAAGAUUCGGAGACAAAAAUAUGUCUUCCCCAAGUCAGAAGCUUGGCACGGCCCGUGCUAACAUUGGCACGGAGCACGGCCGUGCCACCUCCCAGGAACACCUUUUGCUGCUUUUGCUUAGAUUUUAAGCUACAUAAUUUUAGUUUUACCAAAAAGGCCGCAAAUUCUUGUGGAACAUUCUAGUGAUGUAAUUGCUUAGAUUCUAAGUCAAAUGUAAAUUAUAAAUAGAGUAGCUAGCCAUCACAAAUAUUCAUCUUUUAUUCUUGGAAUUCAAUAAGUGACAAUUGUCUUUCUUAAUAAAAGUUCUUUUCUUUUCCUUUACUUUCUUGUUAUUUUACUUUAUGCUUUUCUUCUUCUUCUCCAUGUCUACAAUGAACAUGAGUGAGUAGACUUCUCUUGUCUUGGGAUUGUUGGAUAAGUCUAAUAACAUAAUCCUAAUCAAACCAAGCUUGAAACCCUAAUUUUAUGUAACCCUAAUUUCUAAUCUAAAUUCACCGUUUUAACAGGAAUUAACCAUUAUCAAACUGUGGAAACGAAAGUGGAGGGUUGAUAAUUGUUAAUCCAUCAUCUCAAAUAUCAAUUCAUAAAACGAAAGUGGAGUUUUGAUAUUCGAACAAGUGAGUUUAGACAAGGAUUGUAAAGGCAGCGAAAUAGUCUUUACAAUCCUUGAGACAUAUAAGUUUCGAACUUCAAGGAUUCUAAUAGUAAUCAAGUCAGCGAAAUAGGUUUGGUUGCUAGAGGAACCAAAAUCUAUUAGUAAUCAAGUCAGCAAAAUAGGCUUGAUUGCUAGAGGAACAUAAGAGAAACUUGUCUUUAGAAGUUAGGUCUAACAUAAGGUUCUAGGUUUAAUAGUUUGGUUUGAGAAGGACUUGUCGUUAAGAUGAACCAAUAAUCCCAAGGCUCUCUUUUAUUAUUAUUUUCAAUCGUUUGAAAACCCCAACUUUGCAACUUAAUUCUCUUCUAAUCAUCAACUAAAAGUUAAUUGAAUUGAACAACUCCCUGUCGGAACGAUACUCUUUUAUUACUACUUCGGUAAGACCGUGCACUUGCGAUUUUAUCCCAUCAUUGGACAAUGAACCCCUUUAUCAUGUAGUCUAAUCCGGGUGGGCAAAACACCUCGACACAUACGCCAAACCAAGUUCUUCACUUUUGGUGGGACUUUGAGUCUCCAAAUUCCAGACCAAUUGCCUGGCCUGUCAAAAUAUUGUUGAUCUCAAUUAUAUGAUUUUAUCAUAUUAUUAUGUUUAUCGGAAUUAUCAUUAAAAAACAUUUUAUUUUUUAUUUAAUUGGGCUUGUGUGAAAAUGAUUUGUGUGAGCUUACUAUGAUGGGUAAGUAAGCCCUUAUGUAUGCCCCAAGGAGUGCAACCUAUUUCUAGCCACUUUGAUUGUGUUGUUGCCCCAUUGUAUACUAAACACUGCACUUAGAUGAUACUUGUUGCAUUAUUUUAUUUUAUUUUACUUUUGUUGUAUUAUUUAAAUUAUGAAUUAUGUCAUUUUAUGAAUGUUGUAUUUCAUAUGAAUGAAUGAAUGACUAACUUUGGAAUGAAUGAAUUGAAGAAUGUUGUAAAUGUUGAGGUAGUUGCACUUUGGUAUGAAUGAAUGAAUGUAUGAAGUAGUGGCCAAAACACAAAAACUAAGUUUUUGAAACUGUGCAGGUUUUUCUUUGUAACUGAUAGUUAAUUUGUCGUUUCUAGUACUUCAAUAAGUUAAGCAUGUUAAAUUAUACUGUGAAAUUAUGUUUAAGGCAUGUUUUUGUUGUACAAUUUGAUUUAAUUAAUGACAGAUUUUUUUCAAUUUUUAGUUGUUUUACAUAUAUAUAAUGUUUGUGUCCUUGUUAUACAUUCCUGUUUGAACUGAGUUUUUCGCAGCAACGUUAACCAUCGUUCCUAGAGCGGAAAUUAACUUCCGUUUGUGAGCGGAUGGUAAUUAAUUACCGAUAGGGGUAUUUUCAUCGGUUUAGAAUGCUUGAGAGCAGUAUAUGAGUGCUUAAGCUCUCAAAAUUACACUACCAGAAACAUGCUAAUGUUAAAAGUCAUAUUUUAAUGGGUGGAUUGAGAAAUUACUGACUUUUUUUAUCGUUAAUAAAUUUGGUUAUUGCACUUCCGACCCCCUACAUUGCUCAUUUUUGGCAAACAACCCUACCGUAUGUUAACUUCCGAUAAACUUUGAGAGGAAACAAAACCAUACCAAAAGAUAGGCCCUGCUAGGUGGGGAUGAUCUGCAGCCAACAAAUUUUGCAUCGACUCGGUCCAAUUGAUCCUAUCAGCCCAUGCCCCAAUCCAACAUCAUCAACACCUUAAUGUCGUCAAACAUGCUUAUAGAUGCGACAAAUAAAAUUAUAAGUUUGAUCUAUUUGUAAAAAGACAAGCCUUAAAUUUGGAGGUUUGGAGUUCAAACCUUACCUUCAAUCGGAACACCAUCCGCUUACCCAAAAAAAAACAUUCCAUAAAAAAUAAGUUGUUUGAAAUGACUAGUGAAAUAGUACCCCAACUAUCAUUAAAAUUGUUAAUAAAUAACCUUUUAAAAUAAGUUGUUUUUUAACGUUGGCGUCGACGACUAAAGCCAAAUUUCUCGGAUUUUGCAGGGAAGAAAUUCGAACAAAAACGUAUAGAGAUCAAGACCAAAAACAGCUAUGCGAGGACCAAUUGCAUUUAAACCAACAUACUUUUAUAUUUUAUCUAUUAUUUCUUUGAAAAACAAUUAACAAUUUGCGCAGCAACUGAUUUUGAACCUAAUCAAACUAUACAUAUAAGAAAAAUAAAAAUCAUUCAUAAACAAUAACUAGAAUAAAUAGCCAUAAGGCAUCAAAUACAGAAGAUUAACCAGAACAAACUACUUUUCUCAAAUUUUAACUCUUAAUUUGAAUUAUAUCAGUCAUCAUCUUCUAUCGAACUGUCAUGUGCUCGUUACAACAUCUUUCUUAGCGUAAAAUCUCCUAUACAUGGAAUCAACUUUGGUGAGAAAGAACGUGCCUGGAAGUAAGUAGUUACAGUCUUGGCCAGUCACAAAUUCCUUUCCACCAUAAUGGUGCUCCAUGAUUUUUGUGUUUUCGACAAAUUUUUCAGGUGGUAACUGCAAACAAAAGUAGGUUUUAAUAUAAGAAAUUAUAUUUGGACAUGAAUAGUACAAGUGAAUGUGUGAAGAGUAAGAAAAUAAGCUGGGAGAAAACAUGUGACACAGAAAUGACAGAAAACAAAAGUAACUAUAUCAUAUACGAAAGAUUCAUGUGAUAAAUCAAAAUAACGAAAACAAAUGUGAUUGCUACACGAAAUGAUAAAAAUGUGGAUGGCUACACAAUGUUUAAGGUCAAAUACAAUUCCUCAUAAUGAAUUAAGAUUCAGUUUUGUAUCGACUGAGUUCAGUUUUGUUCCAAAUCGAGAUACGGCUCACAUAUUUGUAAGAUACUUAUAACCAUGAAUGCAACUGUAGCAUAGUCUCUAUCUAAUUUUUCAUGUGUAGGUAACUACUUGUCAGCUUAAGGAAGGAGAUUUUUCAAACACUUUGGUGACACAAGAAAUUUUUGGUGACACAAAAACGACUAAAGCCAUUGGUUUUCACGUAGGGGAUUGAGAUUUUUAUCAAAGAUGCAUACCUCAAUUCUCUGCUUCAAUUUGCCAGAAACAUUCAUCACCGUCACAAUGUUCGACAAGUUAAAGGGAUGUUGACCUUCUUGAAGGCGGAAGGAGAACAUCGUAGAGGUUAAACCACUUCCAUAUGAGAACAUAACUACCCUUUUACCUACCUGCACAUUUAAAGACAUGUUCAAUGUCGGCCUCUAAUAUGUGGUCAUGAUCAUAAGGAAGGUAAAAUAAACAAAGAUACAAGUGAGACAAACCAUACCAGUGAGUCGUGUUUAUUGUGAAGGAGAGAUGCAAAUGCUGCAUACAGAGAUGCAGUGUACAUGUUGCCAACUUGCUUUGGGAUUAAUGUGCUCGGUUGUACCUUUGCAUCAUAUAUUUUUUUUGCAGCUUGCUGGUUUGCCUACAGAAUCACAAUGACCGCUGGCAUCUAAGUUCGUGUUUGGAUCAAAAGACUUCAAUUUGUGUUUAGUACGUUUGGUGUUUGUUUGUAACUUUUUUCUCCAAACGUGAUUUCUACAUUCAAUAUUUGUUUUUUGAACAUUACACUCAAAUUUAUUGUUCAACUCAUUUCAUGCGAAUGUAUCAAAAUAUAUACCAUUUUACCUUAAAAUCAGUUUCAAUUAAAAUCAAUUUUCGUCACCGUUGAACGAAACAAGCACUUAAGUUACAUUUCUAGAAGUCAUUAUGGUCUAUGUGCAUGACUCAAACUCCACAAGAUUAGCUACCUUUUCAAGAUCACGACUUUGAUAGCUCUCAUCACCGGUUAAGGAUGCAUAAGGUGCUAGAGCUUGCCUUGAAACCUCAUCAACAAAACUGGUACAAUAUAACAACCAGAGAACAAAAACAAUUAUAAAUAGGAUUUGAAGUAACUAAUUGAAACCAAAGUGUAUUUUAUGGUUCAUGUACGCCUGGUUUUCAUGUUUCAAUAAGCUUUACUCUUUUUCCAAUAAGUACUAGCAAAUCUUGCUGAAAAGUUAAACUACUAUAUUCAAACGAAACCUAGAGAAUGUACCACCUAUUGGCUUAUUAAAAAUAAAAUUAUCCAAAUGGUAAACAAAUAGUCAUCAAAGCCAUGUUUAGAUGAAGAACUUAAUUAAGCUCUUAUAGGCUAGCAUAAGCGCUUAUCGUAUAAGUUCUUAUCUAUAAGCUAUUUGUAUAACAAAGGAUAAAAUAAAGUCAAAUUGUUUUCAUAUAAGCUAUAAGCUAUUUUUAUAAGUUAUCCUGGAAACUACUUAUUAAUCUGUCAUAAGUUGUUUCCAUAAGCUCACCUAAGCAGCCUCACAAGUUCUUAUACCAGUAGAUACACUUAAAUAACUAGAUCCAAUCACAUCAAAAGGCAAAUGGAAUUAUAUAGCUUGGCACCAUGAAUUAACAGUGGAUUGAAGCAAAAGAUCCACAAACCUUGGAUUUCUGAGGAAGUCAUUGAAGUAUAACCGACCAAAACUUUUUUGCACAAGCUGCAAUAAAUAAAAAAAGCACUCAUGAAAGUUAAAACAAGUUGAAGGAGUAAAAAAUAUAGGGUUCAAAAUCUGGUAAAGAAGAAAAAUACUAACAUAACAAUUAAUAUACUAGCAUUUGCUUAUUAAACAAAAGCUCGUUUUAGGCAGCGUUAUUAUGACAUAACAGCGUCUGUUUUUAAAAACCGAAAUCCAAGUAUGGAGAAAUGAUUUCAGCAUGACUAUACAAAUGAAUCAUAUGAUGAUUACCUUGUUAUAUGGAGAAUGAAAAACAAAAUAAUCAGAAUCUGCCAUUGAAAAAUGCUUCCCCUCCGAUUUUUCAAAUCUGUACAUGCAAGAGCAGAAUAAGAAAGCAAGAAAACUUCAAAGAGUUUUUUGGUUGUGUUUAUUCUUACUUUUCACAAAACACCCGAUAGCAUGAAUCAAGUGCCAUCAGAUAACAGGUCUGUGAGAGUUUUCCAUCGACGACCUACAACAGAAAAAGGUCAAAGGUAAAAGUCAAAAAAUUUAACCAAACUGUGCUGAAUACUUGGUAGACUGGAUGGUAGAAAGAAUCAACAAGGAUUUGAGCACAACAGUAAUAAUUAUUGUUUGUAGCACAGAAGCUUCAGAUUGAAAGUGUGUCUUAGUGUCAAACUAUGGUUGGUGUUUGACACUCGUACGACAUGUGUCGAAACUUCACUCCAGUUUCGGAAUAUAAAAGCCUACUCUUUUCGGCUUCAACACGUUGAGGACAUGACUUCAAUAAGGUCUUGCUUGGGAAAAUUGCGUAAUUGUUUAUAACAUAAGCGCAUAUUGUAUAAGUGGUUAUCUAUAAGCUAUUUCAAUAAAAAUAUAUAAAAAUAAAUUCGAACUGCUUUCGUUCAUAAGCUAUCCUAAAUAGCUAGAUAACAGAAAUAAGCUGAAAACAGCUUAUGAACAUGUAAUAAGUUGUUUUCAUGAGCUCUCACAGAUAGUCUUACAAUUUCUUAGUUUGUAGAUAAACUAAAAUAUCCUAAUCCAAACAGAAGUUAAAGUAGUUUUAAUAACAAAAGUAUUUAUUCAUAAAACUAGGUAUUACAAAGAAGAUGGAAAAGCAUUACUGGGUAUUCACUUGCAAGAUUUGGCUUGUAAAAAUCAUAGGCAUGAGACAUGUGACUUCCCCUGAGUUUGCUUUCGAAAGCAAUAGGAGCAUCUGGCCCUACAAGCAUUGCAAUUGCGGCUGCUCCUCCGGUAGGACGAGCAGGUCCUUCGGCAUAUACCUGAAAAAAGAAUGUCAUAGUUGUUAAACAUUCAAAACAGAAAAAAAAAUAAUCGUUUCAAAAGUUAAACAAACAGUGACACUUGCAGACAUUCAAAAUUGAGCAUGGAAUUCAGUUAUAAAUUUGCAUGUUAUAUAGUUAGUAUAGAUUUUGCAGUUUGUAAUUUGAUGUUUCACGACUUUCUGCCCUACAUAAUUCUAUAAAAAAACUUUCAUGUACUCAACUAAUAAAUCUUCCUAAAUCAUUUUCAAGUGAUGAAGAUAUCUUGAACUUCUACUACUAAAACUAAAAAUAUACAAGUAUUGAGGAUGCGCCGCGGUGAAUUCAUGAGCAACCUAAGAUGGUAAAUUUAGUUAUUAGACUGCAAUUUCCAAAUCAAACUUAAACUUUGCCACAUAAAAAAUGGAUAAUAUGAUAAGAAUUUAACAAUGAACUCAAUUUCCUUAUACACGAAGAAUUAGUAAAUUUCAAAAUCAGUAGCAAAAGAAAGUAGGCUGAAGAAGAUUUUUGUUUGCUAGGAGUUCAUACCGCACUAUCUGUACAGACAACAAGUCCAUAACGUCCGUCCCAUGAACUACUCUCGACCCAAUUCACACAAUUGAACAAAGCUGCUGUUCCACCAUAACAAGCAUUUGUUGAAUCAACGCCUUCAAUGUCAGUAUUCCCGCUGUCCUGAUUAUUACAUGAUAUAAGAUGACAUGUACCAUAAGAACAUGAAAAGUUUGUUCACUUUAGUUCCUACCAAAUUAAUCUCAUCCGUAAGUUUAGGAAACAAUAAAUCGGAUGGAUCAUUAUAAAAACUACAUCAGAUAUCAUCUUUUUUGUUCCUUUUGACUCAAAUAUGCAAGAAUACACAGAAGAUAGGAUUAAAUCCAGUCAGUCAGUCUUACACCAUAAGAAGGGUUAAGAUACAUGAUGCAACUCCAGUCAGUCAGUCUUACACGACUUUAGCGUAUAUGGUAUUGACGACCCAGAUUGCGAAAAAUUACAAUCAAAUGCAGAAAAUCAAUCAAUAAUUGUGAUUCUAGAGACAAGAGAUCUCACAAACAGACUGAUCCAGGAAUUUCAUCUUGCUGGAGCAAGUUUAUUAAUGAUUAGUGUUUAUAUAAAAAUAUAAUCCACAUACGCUAAAAUAAUGACAUCAUUAUCGUUAAGCGUUCCAAGUUGAUGAGCUGAGCGAUGUUAAAAGAGUUUGUUCUAACUAGAAAGGUUCAGAGUUCAAACCCUAUAAACUAACUGCUAAAAUAUCAUUAAGCAAAAUGUUGGCGAUUGAAAAAACGGAGAAUGACAUACCUCAAAAAUUUGCAUCAAGAAGGUCUUAAUGGAUUUGCUUUUGUCAAUCAUAGUUUCACUUCCUACCUCCAAUCGGCCGAUUUUCUUUGGAUCAAUAUUAUAUUUUUCAAGAAGUGAACUAACAACAGUCAUGCUGAAAAUUUCAAAAACAGAAUUGAAAAGUUAUCAGAAUAACUGAAGCAAAACCAUUGCAGCUAGCUUCAGUGAUCAGCUACACAAGCAUGAAAUUAGUACCAUAGUUUUUCAAUUUUCCUAUUCUUUGGCAAAACUAUUCAUGUUCCAAUCAAAUCAUAAUUAAAAAGAAUGAAAAGCAUCUUUGUAACACCGACACCUCUGAUCAAAGGUGUGUCUGGUGUCCGACAUGGAUCGGUGUCCGACACCAACAUGACACUGAAACAUGUCAUUACGUUUAAAUAAUUCAUUUUCUCAAAUCAUUACCAGUGUCGAGUCUGGAGUUAGUGUUUGUGUCGGUGCAUCAUAGAAAAUCAUUCAUAAUUAUAAAAUGAUUAUGCAAAUUCAAAAUAGUUACCUCAUUGAGAUAAUAUCUUCAACCUCAGUACAAAAUGCCAUACAAUCUUGUCCAAGUCCAAUUGUAUAUUUCCCUUUGCUCACACCAUCAUGAGCUUCUAAAGCUUCCUACAAAAUUCACAAAUGAAAAAACAAAAACACAAUUAUUAGGGGAUAAAGAAAAUUAUAGAUUACGAAUUAGUUGGUUACUGAUUAACUAGCCUAAGAAAAACACAAAGGCUGAUGAAAUCACCUAUGAAAAACACACACAGACACUCACACUGACACAUCGACACGAUAAAAUUUUGAGAAAAUGUUAUAUUUCAAUGUAAUCACAAGUGUCGGUGUCGUGUCGCUGUCGAACACGACAAAUGUGGAACACCAGGCAGGACAUGCCUUCAAUCAGAAGUGUCGGUGCAUCACACCAAUCACUUAUCAGUAACAAACUAACUCUUAAUCUAUAAUUCACUAUAUCUCUAAUAACAAUGAAAAAUAAAAACAAAAAUCACAACUUCAAAAUAAAACAAACAUAAAAAGUAAAAACCACAAUUUCAAUCACACCAUAAGCAAAAAAAAUCAUUUCUUAACCCAACAAAUGGAAGAAAAAAAAACAAAAUGAACAUAAAAAUUGGCAUUUAAAAUAAUAACCUUCAAAAUUAGCAAAAAUCACAAUUUCAACCACUCAUUUGGAAAAGAACAAAAACACAAUAAAAAUCAUAAUCACAACUUUAAAUUAAAAAAUCACAACUUCAACAACCACAUAAGGAGAAGAAAAAGAAAGAAAAAAAAAAACUUUUCUUUUGAAAGUGAUCUAAGAAGUGAAGAAGAAAGUGCAUCAUGAUGGAAAAUAUACCUGUUGAACACAAGUGGGAGGGAAAUAGAUGUCUAUAGCGAGGAUUCCAACAUUGUUGGGGUGUGAAGAAGCCAUGUUUGUGUUGUGUGUUUUUUCUUAAAGUGAUGUUUUGUUUUUUUUUUCACUUCACCGAAUGAAUCUUGAACCAACUAACCCCUUUUUAGUGGAAAUUUUAAGGCUGUGUUUGAAUUUAUUUAUUUAUUUUUACAUAUUGUUUGUGUGUUGAGAAAGAAUGAUGUUAUUAUAAAGUUUUUUUAGGAGAUUAUUAUGAAGUUUUUCUUUAUGGAAGAAAAUUUAACUGAGUCGGAUUCACGAAUAGAAGAAAAUUUAACCGAGUUAGGUUCACAGGUGGAAGGAAAUUUAAAUGAGUUGGGUUUACCACACUCAUCAGAGUUAGGAUUUAGAGUUAGGACAGAUCUUAAUACUCAAAAUAUUUAUAUAAAAGAUACUAAGAUCAUCUAUAAUGGUGGGUGCUUCAUCUAUUUAGCACUAUAUUAAAUAGGCACUCUGUUGUGGAGUAUAAUAUAUCGGUGGCUAUGGAAGCACCCUCUCUCUCUUCAUUUUUCAUGGGUCACAUUUAAUAAAUAUUAAUAAAAUAAAUAAAAUUUGUUGAAAUGUAAUGAUAUAAAAUUAUUUGUAAGACCUAUUUAAUAAUUUCUUUUGAGGUACUGGGUUGGAGAAAAUUGACGCUUAUUAAGUAUUACCGUAAAAUGAGUGAUGUGGAGAUAUGAAAUUAAUUUAAGUAUCCAGUUUAAGGUACUCUGUUGUGAUGGUCUAAUAAAUUAUCCGUUAACUAAACCUACACAUUGACAACGAAAGUUGAAUAAAUUCCCUUAUUGAACCAGAAAUGAAGCUUUUAAAAAUUAGAGUAUAUAAUUAUUUUAAUUAUUUAAAAUUUUCUCACUGAUUAAUUUAAUAUCCGACAAAAAAACAAUAUUAAAUUAGUCUUUUACAUUUGUAUAUGAAGAACAAAUUAGUCCUUCAUAACAAAUUAGUCCCUAAAAUAAUAGUCCUUCAAUUCAGCUAACAAAAUGACUAAUUUGUCUCUAUGUAAAAUGUGAAUAACUAACUUGAAGUUAUUUUUUUGGUUAGAAAUUGAAUUGCCUUGUAAGAAUUUUUUUUUUUUUUUUGAGGGAGCCUUAUAAAAAAAUUGUGAAGGACUAAAAUUGAUGAUAGUCUAAAAAUUAAUAAUUGAAUGGUGGGAAUUAAAAAUACGAGUAUUUUUUUGUAUUCUUCUUAUGAUAAGACAUAAGUUGUGCUUUUGUGCGGUUUUUUCAAUUUUUUAGAUUAGUUUGCAAUUUUGUUUUGGAUCGGUUUGUAUGCUUGACGGUAAAAAAUGAUGAGGGAAAAAAAUAAUCUCUUAAAUGAUGAAAGAUGGGCUCAUCCCGAAAUUUGACCUUAUUUUUAAGUCCUUCCUUGUUAGAGAGUAUAAGAAUGAUUUUGUGACUGAGGAUAGAGAGUUAAAAAAUAGAAUGAUACGAAGGUUGAAGAUUAAAAUUCCUCGUAAGAUCAUUAAAACGAUUACCGAAAAUAUAAGUAUUGAUAGUUUAAAAAUGAAGUCUUUGCUGCAAAUCAUAAUGUAAGGAACAUUUUAUUUUUCACACACGUAUAAUCUUUUUUAUUUAUUACAUAUAUAAAAUGAUUCUUGGUAGAUGAUGUGACUACAAAAACAUUAGCACAUGACAUACCUAACCUAAUAAAGAAAUAAUAAGUGUAACAUAGUACAAAUUAAGUUUGAUAAUCAAUUCAAAUGUUUUUAUUCAAUUAUGAUUACCAAAAACAUAUAAGUUCAACCAAAAUAAGUACUUAGAUUUACAUCCAUCUUAAUUUUGUAGCUCAAACUAGUUGUCAUCGCCCAUAACCAUGACAAAACUAGAUUGGUGGUUAUGAGAGUGUGAGUAAAUUCGGUAGUAUGUAUGAUUUUUGCUUGGUUAUCAUAACCUUCAAGACUUAAAUGAUUUAGGUGCAAGUUAGCUAUUUGAUCACGUAUGGAAAGAUAUGUAAAUUGCAUCAGGUGAGUUGCUCAGUGAAAUGUUUUAGUUGGAAUUUCAAGAGCACUCUAAAUAAGGAGUUCGGGUAUGCUCAAUUUAGGCUAUGCUCCAUUUACUCCAUUUAAGAUUUGGAUGCAAGACAUGUGGCAAAAAAAUAUCCAACGGUUGAGAUUUUAAAUUAAAAAACAAUAAAAGGUUGUUGCCAUAUGAGAGAAGAAGGGAACAUGAUUUGUUUGUUAUUAUUAUGUAUUUUUAUUAAACAAAUAUUUGAUUUUUAAUUUAAAAUCUUAACCGUUGGAUGCUUUUUUACCACAUGUCUUUCAUCCAAAUCCUAAAUGGAGUAAAUGGAUCUUAGUCUAAAUGGAGCAUACCUGAACUCCUAAAUAAGACUUAGAUGAAAAUACACUUUUCAAGAUAAUGAAUUUGAUCCAUUUACUGCUCUCUAGGUGUCUCCUUUUAUAGGUCACACUUUCUUGACCUAAUGGGCCUUUCUUUGGAUUUCCAGGCCUAUUAACCCUCUAAGGUCCAUAUCGCUCAUAUGUACCAGGCCCGUGGAGCUGAUCAUGUUUCUUUGCAUUGCUCGUCCGAGCACGUCACUUGUCCGUGCAGGAUGUGUGGCACGUUAUGAGAUACCUUCAAGAGGAGAACCACCACAUGCUUAGACAACGACCUGAGAGAGAGAGCUAGUGAUGUCGACAGUGAAGCUCACAUAACCUAAACAAUCAAGCUUAGUUGUACAUGUUGAAUAGUCAAUAUAAAAGAGAGUCCACGUGAUAUGGUCCUCCAUACUAGUCCACAGUCUACUAUUUAAUCAUUUUCAGUCAUAGAUAAGAUGACGCAGGACAAGACAACCAAAACAAUGAGACAUGCUUUUUAUAUGCCAUGAAUCUACUACAUAACUAGGGAGGUGAGAGUAACAUGAUCCUAAAAAGAUAUGUAAGUGUUGUGUUCAUGGUGUUUAGAACUAAUUGUUGAGUAUGACUACUAUAUAGACCAUGAAAGGGGCAGGAUGUGGGGGACCUGAGCUGGUCAAUCAGGACUAUAUAUACGACUUGUAACACCGUAAAUCCUAAUUCAUUCGCUUAAGUAAUAUACGGAACUCUAGCUGCCCUAUAGUAUUAGAGUUAGACACUGUAUGCUGAACUGCGUAAACAAACGAUCAUGUUUUAUUGUUUGUAAUUUGCACUUUCUUUAAUCUUCUUUCGGUGGUUAGAGGAGGGCGAUGUUUAGAGCUAACACUUCUUUCAGCUGUUAGCUGACAUUUUUCCCCUUAAAAUCAAAUUUUGGUUUCAAUUUUCUUCCUACAAUUUGCCCUUCAAUGUUCACUGUAAAGUUAUUAUGAACCUGCCUGAACUCAUGUGCUAGAACUAGGAAAUCCGGAUCCAAAGGAAGAAAAUAAACACGGGAGAACACAUCGUUUGGUCAUGGAGUUCGCUCAAUUGUUCCUACGUCUACGAGAGCAGGGUGGCUUCUGUAUGUUUUCUGUUAUGCAACAAAUUAGUGUCACAAAGUACAUUGUUUAAAACUCGCAGCGAAGUUUACUAGUUAACCCCUAAUAGAGGGCUUCGCCCCCGACCAUCUUAGUUGUAAGUUGGAACCUAAUAAACAAUUAAUCGGACAAGCCCAAAGGACAGGCGCUCUGCUUCGCUCGUUAUGCUUUUAUCUCAUCUGUCCACAUAUCAGCGAAUAGCUGCCAUCUUCAACAAGAGCAUAAUAGGAAAUGAAUGUAAGUGUGUGCAUAACAUAAUUUGAAUAUUUAACAUAGUUUCUGAACUCAUUAAACAAAUGAAUGAAUGAUUUAUUAGGGUCAUUGGAAAAUCAAAUUUCCAUAUACAUGAAAUUUCAGCCAAAUUCACAAAGUACAGAAAAAUGAAUGAAACAUAACGGAACUUAACAAAAUGUUGCGAAUCGCUGAACCCAGAAAACAACGUCUUGUUCAUAUUCCACUCGCUACAGAGCUAUAGCGCCAUAACAGCUGCUAUUUCACUACAGUCUGUAGCAAAUAGUAUAUCGCGGAACAAUAGCAAUAUGCCUAAAGCGCCGCUAUACUUCAACAGUUUUCUGAUUCAGAGCAGUAUAUCUCCACCUCUCCUUCUCGACAAAAUCAGCAUCGAGAAACCUAGCAACAAAACACCAAAGCUUAUAGAUAUCAUCAAAAUUAGCCAAAAAACCUAAUGCAGCAGUAACAACAGUUAUUCCAACUUUUUCGUUAUCUUUCUUUUUGUUCUCCUUUAGAACUCUUCCCUUUUCAUCGGCAUACUUAUCUGCAAACCAUAUAUGAUGCAACAAUCCGUAACUAAUAGAAAUAUUACUUCUAUCAGCGAGUUUUUGCACAAGAACAGGUUCAACUUUUUCGCCUUUCCAAUCAAAUAUAUUGAAUGCAAUUGCAGGUCCUCUAUCAAAUUUUACUUUUGGACCAUAAAUCGUCACUAGAGAAACCCCUUCUGUGUUAGGAUGCUUAAGCUUCAACAUCGAAUUCACCAACCAGUUUAUCAAGUACCUCGCGCGAUCAUUGAUCAGUAACAAUCCUAAAGAAUCCACUUGAUCUAAGCACCUACAUUCAAUAUCAAAGUGUUCAUUUUUAUCACUUUCUUUAACACCCUUUUCAUGGAUUUGAACUUGCUUUUCCACCUCCUCAAUUUCACAAAUUUCAGAUGGUUUUGACACACUUGGUGCCUCUACGAUCUUAAUCUCAGAAGAUUCUCCUUCUACGAAUUUUGCAGGUUGCGAUGUUUGUAUCAUACUAGACAAAGAUGUCAUAUAAAAUGGUUCUUCUUCGUCUAAAUGUAAGGUAAGUAUCGAAUCUUGCUGCUUUUUUUCUUGCACAAGGUUCACUAUUCCUACAGAAGAAUUUGUUUCCAAAAUCGACGUAGCACUUUUCUUGAUAAAAAGGCAACCAAAUCCAGAAGGGUUUUCUCCAAAAACUUUAUAACAAGAACAUAUAAGAAAAUCUGGUUGAAAAAGUGAAAGAACAAAACAAUCCAUGUCUUUCGGUCCUAAUGCACAUGCAUCAACCAAAACAUUCCAACCAUUCUCUUUCGCUAUACUUAUCCAAAUAUAAGGAUAUCUUGCUCCUGUUACUCUUGAAUGAAGUGGCAAAACAAAAAGACCCUUAUUUUUCUUCUUCUUUCUCUUACUUACAAUCAUUUUCCUCAACUUUGUUGAUUGAAUUCUCAGCCUUGGCCAUGAAAACUCUGCUGACAUAGCUUUUGCUCCUCGUUUUUCGGACGAGCUAAUCAUCGCUUCCACAGCUUCACUUUCAUGGUCAUAAACUGUUAAAAGCUUUCUACUUUUUUGAAAAUUGUAACAAUCUGCUACAAGUUUGAAAGCCGAUGUUCUAUUAGCAGUGAAAACCAUGAAGUAAUCGUUUUCCGAUAUGUUAAGAUAAUUCAUGAUUCUUUUUCUCAUUGCUGACUCAAAUUCGGAAUCUUUUCCACCAUGAAGAAGCAAAGUCUUCAAAUUUCCUGUUUUGCAGGAUAUACUAAAAAACGGCAUAUCAGAAAACUGCGGUAGAGAUUCUUGUGUUUUUCGAUGAGUUGAUUUUGAUGUAUCAUGAUAUUGUUGCAUUUGAGAGUAAGAAAAAAGACCAAUACCAAUAUAAUCAAGACAAGUAUGGUUUGAAAAUGAAAGAUGAGAAUAUUCUUUAUCUCUAACAUGAUCAACUUUUUCUGUCUCAGAAUAUUGAGGAUACACUUUAUUGAAUUCAUUGAAUGAUUCUUGAAAUGAUGGAAGAGAUUCAUGGUUUGUGAAAUGAGUGUUUGGAAAGACUGAGGAUGUCGUCGAUGAUGCGAAAGUGCGACGACAUUCUGAUGAACUGUUUCUGUGUUUUGGUUUUGUGUUUUGUGAAUUUGGUGAGUUGAAAAUUGAGACAUUGCAACAACAUUGAUGAGGGCAUGUUUGUGAGGUUUCAUUUUGGCUAAGGUUGUCCAUGUUUUGUUUUUUUGGUUUUUCUGUUUUCUAAAGUUAAAGAGAUAAGUGUUUUUUAUAUGUAUUUGUUUAUUUAAUGUUAUUAUUAUUUUCUUUCUAUCCAGCUAAUGAUUUCUUGUUGCAUUCUGCCAAACGGCAUAUACAAGAAAAUAAAUACAAAUAUACAGAAAGCAAUUGAAUGUGUCUUUUUAGAGAAUUUUUCAAUGCUCACUCUAUUCUCUUAGAGGUACAAAAUACAGAAAACAAUUCACUUUGUUGUUUUUUUUAUUAUUUUUUAUCUUCUUUUAAUUAUAGAUGAGUUGGUGGACGAGAUGGGAAUGAUUAAAGUUGAUAACGAGUGAAGGUCCGAGAUUCAUAUUAUGACAAAAGAGAAAAAACUAACAUAAAAACUAACUUGUUAACGUUAACUCUUAAACAAAAAUUAGAUGAGUUGAGGGUCGAUGACUCACCAAAUCAAGAUAAAGUUCAAAGUGAUAUAGUCUUUUUUAAUUGUUGAUAAUUUCUUUUUGAAACUUUAAGUGUUUUAGAAAUAGAAAUCCAAGACAUAUUUAAAAUUUUCUUUCAAAUACAUAAUCUUAAUAUAAUUUUUGGUAGUGAUAAUCUUAAUAUAAUUGACAUUAUUUACUUUUUUUUACAGGAAUUUUGACAUGAUUAUUAUGAAAUAUAUAAAACGUUUAAUUUAAUGACCAAUAUCAAACCAAUAUAUUAAGAAGAUAGUAAACAAUAUCAAAAGAAAAUAUUAAAGAAGAAGUAAAUGAUGUCACUUUGGCCGAGUGGUUAAGGCGUGUGCCUGCUAAGUACAUGGGGUUUCCCCGUGAGAGUUCGAAUCUCUUAGGUGACGAUUCUUUUUGGUUUUCUACUUUUAAUGUAAAUACCUUUAACAACCAAAGUCUCAAUUUUACCAAGUAUUUUUUGUACUCUUAUUAAAUUCCACCUUAGUUGGUAAAAAAAAAAAAAUUCCACCUUGCAUAAAAAAAAAAACAUGCAAUGAUAUUUAUACCAAUUAAUUAAUUAAUUUUUUAAAUUUAAUGUGAAUAUCUUAUCAACCGAAGUAUUUUUCAAGAUAAAUAAAAUAACAAUAAUUACUGGAAAAUCACUUAUAAGUAAAAGAGCCGAUAUUUUAAUCUCGAUCAUGGUAUCUGACUUAAUAAUUUCGACAUUCAUACUUGUUGAUGUAAAACGCGAACCAAAGUUCUAGAACGGAGGAAGUAGAACUUUUUUUUUUUUUUGGAUUUAGGUGGCUAAAUACGGCAUUGUAAGAUCCACCAAAAAGGUCAGCAAUCACAAUGUGGACUUUGUCUUCCAUAGUUUGCAAGGUUGACCCGUUAAAAUAUAGAAUAUUUUGCCACUAGCCAAUCAUUCUUGAAUUUUCCAACAUUGUUUGAAUGUGAUAUAGUAUUUUACUAGUAUUGAAAAUUAUAUUUUAAGUGUUAAUUAAAAAAAUAUGUUUUCUUGUUGCACACAGUUUAAAUAUUCGGAAAAUUCUAUUUUAGUGGAUCCCAUUUCUUUCUAUAUACACUAAAAAACAAAUGAUUUUACUAUAGUUUCAAUUACUUAUUUGUGUCUGCGCUAUUAUAUAAAGACAAAUGAUAACAGUUACGAUGAUGUAGAAUUUAUCUCAAUUAAUAUUUUUACAGUUUUAAAUUUUUAUAAUUUUUACUAAUACAUAAUUAAAGAUAUUUACGUGUGACGCAGUCAAUUAAAUCACAUAUUUUGGGAGGGAAGGCCAUGCCCUUUACUUCAAGGAUUUUUAGUACUCUUAAGUAUGGCUUAUUGGUAAGAACCAAUCAUAAAUAUGUUCAUUUAAGCCGGCAUUAACAAGGUUCCAAUACUUUAUUUUUUUUUGGAGAAGAGUCCAAAUACUUUUUUGAUACAUGUUUCAUAAAUUUAGUUGGAGUGGGAUAUUGUUCUGUUCAAUAGAGUAUAUAUAGUUUUUGUUGAAUUCGAUCAUAUUGAGUGAAAUUACAUUAAUCUAAUUAAUUUCCAAUACAUUAGGGUAUCAAGAGGAUGCAUUAUAUAUUAUAUAUUUAGGUUGAACUAGUUUGUUAAAGUGACAACUCAUGUCACACAAAUUAAAGACGUGAAUUUAAAUAUCACUGCCGAAUUGAGAUCAUGAAAAGAUUUGAUGCAGUAUCAUCUAUGUUUAUCUCUCUAAAACCCAAAUAAUUUCAUAGUCUCUCUACCGAUGACACAACUUUGAAGAUGUAUAAUUUUUUUUUGGCUUAAUUGCACUUUUCCCCUUAUAGUUUGCCAAUUGUGUGAUUUUGCACCCCAUAGUUUUAAACAAACGAUUUUGCCCCCUAUAGUUUUUCCCCUUUCUGAUUUUAUGGUCCCCAUGAUAUUUAGUGCUGGUUUUUUUAUCAAUUAAUGUGUGUCACGUGUGUAAUUCCAUUUUUUAAAAAAUAAAAAAUGAUAUUUUUCAGAUUUUGAGAGAAGGAGCACGUGAUUCUUCAGAUUUUAAGAAGAAAUAUCACGUGCCUCCUUCUCUCAAAAUCUGAAAAAUACCACUUUUUUAUUUUUUAAAAAAUGGAAUUACACACGUGGCACACAUUAAUUGAUAAAAAACAGACAUAUCAGCACUAAAUGUCAUGGGGACAAUAAAAUCAGAAAGGGGAAAACUAUAGGGGGCAAAAUCGCUCGUUUAAAACUAUGUGGUGCAAAAUCGCAUAAUUGACAAACUAUAAAGGGGAAAAGUGCAAUUAAGCUUUUUUUUUUUUUUUUGAGCAAACGUUAUUUAAAUCUUAAAAUGUGUCGCCGAAUAGUUCCAAAGAUUUGGUUGAGUGAUAAAAAUAUAAUAUUUUGGGGCAAAUUCUAUGAUACACCCAAUAUAUUUGAGUGUACCGGUACACUCCUUCUUUAAAUUAAUAACUAAAUGAGUUGUUUUUUGAAGAAAAAUAUUUUUUUUUAUCACUUAUAAUUAUAAUAACUAAAUCUUAUUCAUCAAAAGUGUCAACGAAAUAAAAUUAAUUUUUUUUGAAUUUUUAUCACUCAUAAUUGAGAACAUUGAUUAUUUUUUACGAUAAUGUGUAAAAACAAUUAUAAAUUUUUUUAUAAACAAUAAAAUGAUGUUUUUUCUUAUAAAAUAAUGUUCUAUAAAACAUAAAUAUUAACAAAUAGCUAUUUAUUACACAAAAAAGAAUCGUUUAUUUAUAAAAUUAUGAAGGAAGAGUACGGGUACACCUCACUUUGUGAGAAGUGAGUGUACCGUAGAAGUUCUCAUAUUUUGAAGGUUGUGGGUUCGAAUCUUAGUAAUCUCUUUAUUUUCACCGUCAGACAUCUUUGCUUUGACCCUAAAUUUUCAUAAAAAAAUGUACCAUAAACUUGGAACUACAAAACGGUCUAAUUAACUCACCUAUACAUUUAGUAAAAAAAUAAAAUUAAUUUGUAUCAAGGGAGAUUGGAUGAUUAAUGAGUAGUCUAGUAUAUAGCAUUGUAAACUGAGUCCAUGUUUAAUUCAUUUACUUUGCUAAAAUUUUACUUUGUUUUAAGAAAGACAUACACAAAUGGUAAAUUAGUAAGACUCUUUUAAUAAAUGGACCGACUAAUGGGUUCAAUUCUUCUAUCAUUAACCCUUUUGUUUGGUUGUUCAGUUAGAAAUUCCUUUGUUGUCCCAAAGCAAUUGUAAGAGUUAUUUCUAGGGACCAAUUUAGGUUUGACUUUUUGUUAUGUGUAUAAUUUUGAUACAAUGAAACGCCAUUUUGCAAUGUUAAACCAAUUGUAAGCAAAUGGAUAAUAUAUAUGAGGCAUGAAAAGGGUAAAGCUUAAGUCAAUAAAACAAAGUGACUUUUGUUGUCCUUAAAGUGUAUGCAAAUUCAAUAGUUUGAAAAUAAUUGCAAGCUAUAUACAACAAAAACAUGGGUGUGGCAUCACUUGUUCAAUCAUGAGUUGCUUUCAGCUGAGAUGGCAAGGGAAUUUCCUAGCGAAUGUUACAAUACAUAAUGUCUACGAAUAUAUAACAUUAUAAAAAAAGUUGAAUAAGCAUCUAUGGUUAAUUUUAUGCAUAAAAAAUGGAUGAUCUAUGGUUAAUUUUUAAUCCGAAGUCAUCUCUUUAAAUUGUUUUACCUUUUUCUUUUAACUUAAUUAGGGUCUGUUUGGUAAGCCCACUAAAUGAGCUUAUAGUUUAUAGCUUAUAGUCUAUCAUCUUUUCUUCCAUUUAUACCCUUAUUAUUUUAUCUAAAAACAAAUUUUACCCAUUAUAAUUUAUCACUCCUAUAAUUAAAAAUAACACAUUAAUUAUUGUAAUAAAUACCAUGCCUUAAAAAAGUCUCGUUAGAUUUAAACGAAUAUAAUUUAUACCGUACAUUUAAACGAAUAUAACCUUUUGUAACCAAAAAAACGAAUAUAACCUGUGGUUAAAAAAAAAAAAAAAAAUUGCAUCAUACAUGUAACAUUUGUGUUUUUAAUCUUUUAUCAUGACUACAUGAUUUUUAUACAAUUGUGUUUGAUUUUGCUAAAAUAAAAUACAACUGUGCUAUGUAUAUAUACGAUUUUACCUUUAUUAGUUAGUUGAACCGCUAAUUUUACCAAACACUUUAAUUAGCUUAUCAGUCGUUAGCUAUAAGCUAUCAGCUAUCAGCUAUAAGCUAUAAGCUAACUUAUAAGCUAUCCGCUAUUUUUACCAAACAGAGCCUAAGUGAUUUUCACAUGUAUUUAGUUUAUAGUUUUUUAUGAAGCUAAAAUGGAAUAUAGUUAAACAGAAAUGGUUCAACUAACACAAGAUGUGCCAAAAAGAACCACCCAAAAAGAUUACAACGUUAAAUGCCUGUUGCCAUAAAGCACAACGAAAAAACAAGCAAAGGAAACUACUCCCUAACACCCAUACAUGAUAAAGGGCUCCGCCACCCGUCAUUGUAACCGAAAGUGGAAGUGAACAUCUUAGCUUUUAACCAAGUAAACGACAAAAACUUGACAUCAUCUAACACCUUAGACAAAUCCUGAGCUUUGUUGUUAAAUAUCCUGUUAUUUUGGUCCUUCCAAAUGACCCAAACAGUAGUAUGCCAAAUCACUUGGAGGUAAGAGUGAACAUAUCGCGGGAAACCCGCCAAACCACCAAAUUGAUGAAAAUGAUCAGCCACCGAGGCAUGGGAUAUGAAAGAAAUACCAACCCACCUGUAAAUUGGUUUCCAUAAAAUGCUAAAAAUGUCACAACACAAAAUGAGAUGAACCGCCGUCUCCUGUGUGCGACACCCUCCUACACAUGCCAUGGCAUCCUGAUGAAGUAUUGUAACACCCCGUUACUCAAAUUCAAUUAAAUAACAAAUAAACAUACAUCUGAAUAAUUCCCAAACGGGCAUGUCACACUACAAUUUCAAAUUUCUUAAAUAGAAUAUAAAAUCUAUUUAACUAAACAUCCUUCAAAAUCAUCAUUUAACUUGCAGCGGAAUAUUUUCGACUUUAAUUAACAAAAACAUCCAAUAUAAUUAAUCUCCAAUAAAUAUUCAUGGCAUAAAAGCCUCAUCAAGGAAAUCCAAACAUCAAUAGGGCUACAACAUCAAUAUUCAAAAUUUCAUACAUAGGAAAGAAGUUAAGCAAUAAAAUCUCAUCCCACGUAUCAGAGCCCUAGACACUUUGAGCCACCACCUACUACUCAGGAUCACCUGCAAGUUACCCAUAUGAAGGGCAAUGUAACACCCCGUUUUCCCAAUAUACCAAUUUCUUAAAUCAUUUAUCAGAGUAAGCAUCAUAAACAACGGGAUAUCACAUAUAACAUAAUCUAAACAGUUAAAUAAUAAUUUAACCAAAUAUCUUAAACAUUGCAGCGGAAAUUAUAUCAUAAUCCAUAAAACGUUUUGGCACGCAGGCCCCAUCAAAAUAAUCUUAAAAGAGUCAGUUCAAUAUAACAAAUAGCAUAUUAUUCACGUAAUAGAACGAAGCAUGCAUAACAUAUAGCCCCAUCACGUUACGUAUCAGAGCGACCUAGACGACACAGUGAAGGCAAGGCCACUCACGACGGAAACUGCACACUAAGCGCGAUCACCUGCAAGUUACCCAUACGAAGGGCAACAUUUUCAAGCAGAAGGGGUGAGAUUUCAUAACAAAAUAAUGUUAAUCAAAGUAAUUUGAAUCAUAAUUAACAUCAUAUCAAUCUUAAACAACUUUGCAUAUUUGAUAAACAAUCAUCACCUAAUCACAUAUUCAAUCGUCAUCAACAACAUAACAUACUAGACAUGACAAUGCGACAAUUCUCUUAGACUCCUUAUAUGCAUGUGGUACCAAUCGUCAUCAUAAGUAUUAAUAUACUUUAACGUGCGGAGGACAAAGCUCCUAAUAAAUCGUGCGGAGGACAAAGCUCCUAAUAAUCGUGGUGAGGACUAAGCUCAAUGAAUGCUAAUGCAUGGACUCUUAUCAACAAAUCACCGUAAUCAACAUAUCAAUAAGCAUCCAAUAAUUUGGAGCUAAACGUCAUCUUAUUCCUCAUAUAUAGACAUUAUGCACUUAGUUAAAUAACAGCAGCAGCAUAGUCAAGUCACACAACAACAGGAUGAUAUCAAUAUAUCAAUUGCAAUUCAAUGGCAUCAUAAUAUUUCAUUCAAAAUCUUACAUAAUGUAUAAUACAUCAGUUCAUGCUUAAUUAAUAUCAACAUAUCUUAAACGGCUUUACAGAUUGCAUUAAACGUCAUCAUUAGGUUUCAUUACCAAUUAGGGUUUCACUCUUGAUCAAACGUGCGAUACAGAUCGCACAAACACUCAAUGCACUCUUAUCUGGAAGUGCUCGCGAGGCGAGAGUUCCUACUCGCCAUGGCAAGUACCAGACAAAACCAAACUAAAGCUGUUCUGGGUUUAAUCUUGUCCUACAUUCAUCCCUAAUCAAUACUAGGUAUGUUCAAGCACUCAAAGGCACUCAAGGUCAAACUAAAAAGUCGAAAAUACAAAAUCUAACAUGCUCUCUUCCUUAGCUCGCUAUGGCGAGUAAGGUUGCUCGCUGUGGCGAGCUGCAUUGCACAACUCGCUAGGCGAGGAAAAAGGGGUCGCGAGGCGAGUGAUGAAUGUGCAUCACUCACGAGGCGAGAUUCAUAGCUCGCCGUGGCGAGCGAUGAAUGUCGCUACGGCCAGACAUCCUAUUUUCACAAAAAUUCAACGAUUCACAUGGUUCUAAGCCUGAUAUUGAUUCCAAAGUUCGUCCUAAACAUGAUCUAAGGUCUAGGGGCAUUUUCUACAUCAAUUUAUCCAAUUCCUACCGUUCGAUUAUCAAUUCUAGGGAUUUGACCUAGUUUUCGUUUUCUCCAAUUCAAUCCUAAAGCUUGCUAACUAAUCAUCAGAAUUACAAUCAAUUAACAUUACUGAGUUAUUAGUCUCACCCUUACCUGGUUAUGAAGAAAUCGCAGCCCUCUCUUGAUCUUCUCCCUUCUAAGUUUUUUCUCCAUUUUCCAAAAGUUUUCACGUACAAUGGUUUUUCUAACAAUUAGGUCUUCUCUAUUUAUAUCUCCUCUUAAUAACUUAUCUUAUCUCACUUUCUCCCCCAAAACUAUCUAAAAUCUCAAAACAACCCUUAACUAAAUAUUUUAUAUUAUUUUCAAAUCUUUAUUUUAUUUAACAAUAAAAUAAGUCCCUUACUCUUAUCAAAUCUUCCAAAACUCAUAGCUUAUCAUAAUAUCAACCAAACCAUCAAUAUAGUCGUAAAUCAUUCAAAUCAUACCAAAAUAAUGAAUAUAUUAUAUAAAUAUAAUAUAAUCGCCUAAAGUCGAUUAAAUAAACAAUUAACGAAAGUGGGCGUUACAUAGAACAUGAUGGUAUUUUGAUGUUUUCCUUGAUGGCUUCCUUAUCUAUUGAGAAUCAAACAGUGAUUGAUAAACUACAAGUGGUAUGCGAUUUUCCAGAAGUAUUUCCUGAUGAAAUUCCUGAUGUGCCUCCAAAGAGGGAAGUUGAAUUUUCGAUUGAUCUUGUUCCUGGAACGAAGCCUGUGUCUAUGACACCUUAUCGUAUGUCAGCUUCUGAGUUGGCCGAGUUGAAGAAAUAAUUAGAAGAUUUACUUGAGAAAAAGUUUGUUAGACUAAGUGUUUCGCCUUGGGGAGCGCCCGUUUUGCUAGUGAAGAAGAAAGAUGGUAGCAUGAGGUUGUGUAUUGAUUAUCAACAGUUGAACAAUGUAACAAUAAAGAAUAGGUAUCCACUUCCGAGAAUUGAUGAUUUGAUGGAUUAGUUAGUGGGUGCACGUGUUGUCAGCAAGAUUGAUUUGAGAUCAGGUUAUCACCAGAUUAAAGUAAAAGAUGAAGAUAUGCACAAGACAGCUUUCAGAACGCGUUAUGGACAUUAUGAGUAUAAAGUUAUGCCUUUCGGUGUUACAAAUGCACCUGGAGUAUUUAUGGAGUACAUGAAUCGCAUCUUUCAUGCAUUUUUGGAUCGGUUCGUGGUUGUUUUUAUUAAUGAUAUUUUGAUUUACUCCAAGUCUGAAGAAGAGCAUGCUGAGCAUUUGAAGCUGGUUUUGUAAGUGUUGAAAGAGAAGAAGCUUUAUGCGAAAUUGUCUAAGUGUGAAUUCUGGUUGAAAGAAGUGAGCUUUCUUGGACAUGUUAUUUGUGGUAGUGGUAUUGCAGUAGAUCUGUCUAAAGUUGAAGCAAUAUCGCAAUGGGAGACUCCUAAGUCGGUUACUGAGAUUAGAAGCUUUUUGGGAUUGGCUGGUUAUUACAGAAGAUUUAUAGAAGGAUUUUCCAAGUUAGCACUUCCGCUAACACAGUUGACUUGCAAAGGUAAAGCCUUUGUGUGGGAUGUUCAAUGUGAGAAUAGUUCCAGUGAAUUGAAGAAGCGGUUGACGACAACUCCAGUUUUGAUUUUGCCAAAGUCAGAUGAACCUUUUGUGGUAUAUUGUGAUGCGUCCAAGCUGGGUUUAUGUGGUGUGCUUAUGCAAGAUGGUAAAGUAGUAGCUUAUGCUUCGAGAUAGUUGAGAAUUCAUGAGAAGAAUUACCCUACGCACGAUUUAGAGUUGGCUGUUGUGGUCUUUGUAUUGAAGAUAUGGAGACAUUACUUGUAUGGUUCGAGAUUUGAGAUAUUUAGUGAUCAUAAGAGUUUGAAGUAUCUGUUUGAUCAGAAGGAAUUGAAUAUGAGGCAGCGUAUAUGGCUUGAAUUGUUGAAGGACUAUGAUUUUGAGUUGAGCUAUCAUCCAGGUAAAGCUAAUGUUGUUGCAGAUGCUUUGAGUAGGAAGACCUUGCAUAUGUCUGCCAUGAUGGUAAAGGAGUUCGAGUUGCUUGAACAAUUCAGAGAUUUGAGUUUAGUUUGUGAAAUGUUAUCUGAAAGUGUGAAGCUAGGAAUGCUGAAGAUUGAUAAUGAAUUCCUGAAGAGUAUUAAAGAAGCGCAAAAAGUUGAUGUUAAGUUUGUAGACUUGUUGGUUGCUAGUGAUCAGACUGAAGACAGUGACUUUAAAAUCGAUGAUCAAGGUGUGUUGAGGUUUCGAGGUAGGAUUUGUAUUCCAGACGAUGAUGAGAUGAAGAAAAUGAUUCUUGAAGAGAGUCAUAGAAGUAACUUGAGUAUUCAUCCGGGAGCUACGAAGAUGUAUCAUGAUCUAAAGAAGUUGUUUUGGUGGUCUGGAUUGAAACGCGAUGUUGCACAGUUUAUGUAUUCUUGUUUGAUUUUUCAGAAGUCGAAGGUUGAGCAUCAGAAACCUGCUGGUAUGAUGGUGUCUUUAGAUGUGCCAGAGUGGAAAUGGGAUAGUAUAUCCAUGGAUUUUGUGACGAGUUUGCCGAAUACUCCUAAAGGGAAUGACGCGAUUUGGGUGAUUGUUGAUAGAUUGACUAAGUCGGCUCAUUUUCUUAUGAUUAAUAUCAGUUUUCCUGUUUCUCAGUUGGCAGAGAUUUAUAUUCGAGAUAUUGUGAAGUUGCAUGGUGUUCCUUCGAGCAUUGUGUCAGAUAGAGAUCCAAGAUUUACUUCUAGAUUUUGGAAAAGUUUGCCAGAGGCUUUAGGUUAUAAGUUGAGGUUGAGUUCGGCGUAUCAUCCGCAAACUGAUGGUUAGUCGGAGAGGACGAUUCAGUCGUUAGAAGAUUUGUUGAGAGUUUGUGUACUUGAGGAAGGAGGAACUUGAGAUAGUCAUCUUCCAUUGAUAGAGUUCACGUACAAUAAUAGUUAUCAUUCUAGUAUUGGAAUGGCACCUUACGAGACUUUGUGUGGUCGGAGAUGCAGAACUCCGUUGUGUUGGUUUGAGUCAGGUGAAAGAGUAGUCUUAGGACCAGAGAUUGUUCAACAAAUUACUUAGAAGGUUAAGAUGAUUCAAGAGAAGAUGAAAGUUUCGGAGAGUCGACAAUAGAGUUACAAUGAUAAGCGUAGGACAGAUCUUGAGUUUCAAGAAGGAGACCACGUAUUUGUGAGAGUCACUCCUGUGACUGGUGUUGGACGAGCUUUGAAGUCAAAGAAGUUGACCCCGAGAUUUAUUGGUCCGAAUCAGAUAUCGGAAAGAGUUGGAACGAUGGCGUAUCAAGUGGGUUUACCACCGCAUCUUUCGAAUUUGCACUUUGUGUUUCAUGUGUCGCAACUUCGGAAGUAUGUAUCGGAUCCCUCCCAUGUGAUCCAAAGUGAUGAUGUGCAAGUUAGAGAUAACCUUACGGUUAAGACUUUACCGAUAAGGAUUGAUGAUCGAAAAGUGAAGACGUUCAGAGGCAAAGAGAUACCUCUUGUGAGAGUCGUUUGGGACAGAGCGACUUGUGAAAGCUUAAUGUGGGAGCUAGAGAGUAAGAUGCUGAAUCUUAUCCAUAGUUGUUUGCUUGAGGUAAAUUUUCGAGGACGAAAAUCUUAUAAGUUGGGGAGAGUUGUAACGCCCGUUUCGAAUUGUUUAAUUAUUUAAUUAUUUAAUUGAGUCUAGAAGUUAUUUAGAUUAGUUUAUAUUAUAUUUAUAUGAUAUAUGUGUGAUUUAAGAGGUUUAUAUGAUUGAGGUGGUUUUAUAUGAUUUUAUGAGGAGUUGUGACUUAUUUUGUUGUGUCGCGUCAUUUUUCGGAGAUCAAAGCUAUUUGAUUAGCUAUUUGACUCACUAAUUUAUUUCACGACUAAACAUUUAAUUUUUUAAGAAAAAGGGGAAAAAAGUUCAAAACACCCCAUAUUGAGAGAUUUAGGGUUCGGGGGUUGGUUAUAUUUAGGGAAGGUAUUAGCAUCCUAAAUAUUCGUAGUACUCUACGAGAACCUCUUGAUUUUAUUUAAUUAAUGUGCUAUAAACUUGCUUAUUAUUUUUGAAAAGAAAGAAUUAAAGUGGAAAAAUAAAAGACCUAAUUAUCUACAUUUUAUUGAUUUGGAAGGACAUGGUCCUCUGCCUACGUACCCGUGAGGGAUCAAAACCUCGUAGUUCGGGGUAGAAAAUGACGUUUUAUUUGUUUGGUAUUUUUUAUUUGUUUUGAAAAAAGGUUUUAAAAUGAAAAGCCAAGUGGCAAAUAAGAAUUUGUUUGUAUUUUUUAUAUUAAAAGAAAAUGACUAAAAAUAUGAUUAAAUUGGUUAAAGUUUGAUUAAGAAAAUAAAAUAAAAGACGGUCACUUGAUUUAAGAUCAAGGUUUGUUUAUGAAAAUAUUUUUGUGAUUUUUGAUUAUUUGCAUGUUUUUGUUGUUUUUUGGAAUAUUAAAUGAAAAUUAAACUAACGGAGCAAUAAAAAUAAAAGCGCGUGGAUUUUUGUAGUGACGUUGUAUCACCACAAAAUCCCUAAUCUAAUUUUUUUGAAUUUUUGGAUAUAUCUAAGGCGGUAAAGAAAUAAAAGGACACACACACCCACACACUUUUCUCAUUUAUAUUUACAUUGAACCUAAAUACAUUCUAAUUGCUGGAAAAUAGAUAACAAUAUAAUUAAAAUGCUAAAUAAAAUAAAAUAAAAAUGCUAAAAUGCUAAAAAGAAAUAAAAUGCAAGAAAAUAAAAUAAAUGGACAACCAAAGGGACAAAAAUUACCGAAGGAACAAAAUUUCGAAGGGACUUUCCGAAGGGACAGAAAAAAGGAGGAGAAGAAAAGAAUAGCUCGUCAACACAAGCUAAGAGGGAGAAGAGAGAAAAGUUCUUUGACAACUCAAUAGAACUUUUGGUGUCUGAAAUUGUGUGGAAUGAGAGCUCUAUUUAUAGGUGAGGAGGUUGAUGAAAAAUGGAAAAUUGGUUUAAUGGAAAUGAUGGACAAUUAUGGUGAAUUUUGAAAAAGGAAUGUCAAAGUUGACACUUGACUUGAAUUUUUUUUAGACGUUGGACAUUUUAUUCUUGGACCUAUUGACACUUUGUUUUUUUGGGACACUAAUUAAUUAAAAGAAAUAAAAUAAAAAUAAAAUAAAUCUAAUACGAAAUAAAAUAAAAAACAAAUUAAACUAAAUUAUGUAAAGAAAAAUAAAAUUAAAAGAUGGAAAAUAAAAAUUAUUAAAUAUAAAAAAUAGUAACUAACCUUAAAAUAAAAAUCAAUAAAAGAUGGAAAUUAGAUAAUGAAAUAAAAAGAUAAAAAAGAAAGAAAAGAGGGCCCGACUCGAAAUCAAAAUUGAGGUAUUUUAAAAUACCUCUCUGCCGAAUUUUCAUUGAAAAAUCAGAGAUCGAUCAGAGUCAAGUGACACGGCCUUAGGUAAAAAAUUGGGGUAUGACAGAUGCCCCUAUUUAAGUUUCUUCGUCAGGAGAUUUGAAGAUGAAAUCUUUGAUUUGACGAGUCGAAGAGACUUAAAUACAAAGUACACCAUUUUUGACCUAAGAUCCUACGGAUGCAUGUGAUGCAAUUUAUGAAUACAGGAUGAUUUGAUUUGAAUGAGAAAUAACAACGGGACACCCGAAUUCGUUGAAGAAAAAGGGGUCCAACUCCGCUAGGGGAAUGUAGUUUCACUAGGGAAAAUGAUUGUCUACUAUCGUAUUGAUAGCUUAACAGAGACGAUUGAUACUUUUACCUAACUAUCGAUGAGAUAGCUUAACAAAGGUAAGAAUGAAAGAAAAACUAUCGUCUAACUAUCGUUGAAAUGAUAGCUUAACAAAGACAAAUGAUACUUUUACCUAACUAUCGAUGAGAUAGCUUAACAAAGGUAAGAAUGAAAGAAAAACCAUCGUCUAACUACCGUUGAAAUGAUAGCUUAACAAAGACAAAUGAUACUUUUACCUAACUAUCGAUGAGAUAGCUUAACAAAGGUAAGAAUGAAAGAAAAACCAUCGUAUAACUAUCGUUGAAAUGAUAGCUUAACAAAGACAAAUGAUACUUUUACCUAACUAUCGAUGAGAUAGCUUAACAAAGGUAAGAAUGAAAGGAAAACCAUCGUCUAACUACCGUUGAAAUGAUAGCUUAACAAAGACAAAUGAUACUUUUACCUAACUAUCGAUGAGAUAGCUUAACAAAGGUAAGAAUGAGAGAAAAACCAUCGUCUAACUACCGUUGAAAUGAUAGCUUAACAAAGACAAAUGAUACGUUUACCUAACUAUCGAUGAGGUAGCUUAACAAAGGUAAGAAUGAAAGAAAAACUAUCGUCUAACUAUCGUUGAAAUGAUAGCUUAACAAAGACAAAUGAUAUUUUUACCUAACUAUCGAUGAGAUAGCUUAACAAAGGUGACGAGAUAAAACCGCAAGUGCACGGUCUUACCGAAGUAGUACAAAAGAGUAUCGUUCCGACAGGGAGUAGUUCAAUUUAAUUAACCUUUAGAGAUGAUUAGAAGAGAAAAGAGAUUUUAAAUUGGGGGUUUUAAACGGUUAAAAGCAAUAUAAUAAAAGAGCCUUGGGAUCGUUGGUUUUAUCUAAGUGACAAGUCCUUCUCAAACCAAAACCAUAAGCUUAUAAUGUUAUGUUAGACCUAAUUUCUCAAGACAGUUUCUCUUAAGUUCCUCUAGCAACCAAGCCUAUUUCGCUGACCUGAUUACUAUUGGAUUUUGGUUCCUCUAACAACCAAGCCUAUUUCGCUGACUUGAUUGUUAUUAGUUCCCUUGAAGAUCGAAACUAUAUGUCUCAAAGAUUGCAAAGCCUAUUUCGCUGACUUUGCAAUCCUUGUCUGAAUUCACUUGUUCGAAUAUCAAAGCUCCACUUUCGUUUUAUGAAUUGAUAUUUGGAAUAAUGGAUGAACAAUUAUCAAACCCUCCACUUUCGUUCCCACAGUUUGAUAAUGGUUAAUCCAUGUUAAGACGGUGAAUUCAGAUAAGAAAUUAGGGUUACAUAAGAUUAAGGCUUAGGGCUUGGUUUGAUUAGGAUUAUGUCAUUUAGACUUAUCCAACAAUCCCAAGACAAGAAGAAGUCUACUCACUCAUGUUCAUCGUAGACAUGGGGGAGAAGAGAGAAAGCAUGAAAGUAAAAGACAAUGAAAUAAAGGAAAAGAACUUUAUUUAGAAAAGCAAAUGUCACUUAUUGUAUUCCAAGUAAAGAUGAAUAUUAGUGAUGGCUAGCUACUCUAUUUAUAGUACACAAUUGACUUAAAAUCUAAGCAAGUAUAUUCCUAGAAUAUUCCUCGGUAGAUUGUGCGUCAAAAUAGAAUAGCUUGGAGUCAAAGCAAAAGCAGCAAAAGGCAUCUGGAGGGUGGCACGGCCGUGCCAAGGCUAGCACGGGCCGUGCCAAGCUUCUGACUUGUGGGAGAUAUAUUUUGUUUCCCAAUCUUCAUGUUUUUGUGUCCAAUCUGCUCCAAAUCCCUUUCUUUUGCUCCAAGACUCUCUCCAUCCAAUAUUCUUCCCUGAAAUAUAAUAAAUUGCAUUUUAAAGUAAACUAUCCUAAAAAGGAAAUAAUACUAAUAUAAAAUUAUAUAAAAUCUAAUUAAAACUAAACUAAAAAGCAUAUUAAAAUAACAUAUAAAUGAUUCAUCAAACUCCCCCAUACUUGAAUCUUUGCUUGUCCUCAAGCAAAAGGCAUAAACAUAGUAACAUCAACAGUUAAAUCAAAUGACAAUUAAUUAAAGCACAUGUCUCCUCAAGGGCUUAAAUCCCAAAAUGUACACUAAUCACAAACUCAAGUAUUUCUUGAAAUCUUUAUUCUACCCAACAAUCAAGUUUCAAGUGAGAGUGUGUGUGAAGUCCAACCCUUUUCUUGCUCCUGUAUAAAAUAGGUAUAAUGAGGAAACAUGGUCUAAUCUUAGCACUAAACUAACCAAGAAAAAUUCCUUCUACAAUUCAUAUAAAAGAGAUGGGAGUUUUUGAGAAUCUUUGUUCUUUUGCCAUAUGCACAUUUUAAGUUCUUUAUUUAAGGGACAACAUUUUCACGUAGGAGGUCGGAGGGCCUACCCCCUUCCCCAAUCUAGAUUCAAUGAUAUUCCUUAAAACAUCGUCUUCACGUAGGAAGUCGGAGGGCCUACCUCCUUCCCCAAUCUAGUUUCAACAAUGCUUUUAUCAGUUUUUCUCAAGAUAACAAUCACCUUCACGUAGGAAGUCGGAGGGCCUACCUCCUUCCCCAAUCUAGAUUCAGUGAUGAGAUCUUGGAAUUAUUUGGCUUUUUGGCUUUUUAUGAUCUCCCUUAUACUCACUUAUACUACUGGCGCUUUGAGAAUUUUUAAAGGUUAAUGCACCAUUAAGAUUAGAACGCGUUUCCUUAAAAUACCUAUUCAUACAUUUACUCAAGGGAAGCAACUUUGUGUUUUUCUCAUUGGAGAAUUUUAUUCACUUUGAAACAAGAUGUGGUUAUAUCAAGAAGACUUAAAACACAAGAGUUUGCUUUCAUGUACAAGAGUCAACAAAAUAAGAGGAGACAAUGAAAAUUUUUGUGUCAUGAUUUUUUUUUCAAUAAAAAUUAGCUACUUAACUAUGCCUUUUACAAUAAAACAGAACAAAAGAAUAAAGUUCAAGGGAGUUUGGAAAUACUACGACUACUGACACUUUAUUAGGCUCCCCCCACACUUAGGAGAAGCAUUGUCCUCAAUGAUUCAAGAUAAAAAGAAAAAUAACAGAGAAGUAGAGGUAGAAGAAGAAGAAGCAGAAGAAGAAGGAGAAGGAUAAGAAGGGAAGAGUGGAAGAGGAAAGCUCACAGUUUUAUCAUUGAGGUCCAUAUGGAGGACCUUGGAGGUGAAAGUGGUGCAUCAUGUUCCGAAGCAUUUGGUUAUUUUCUUCGGAUAUGCGGUUGCCCCUUUGGACAUCAUGCCUUAUGCUCAUGAGUUCAACACCUUGCCUUUGUUGCUCGGUGUUUAUUCUUUCAACCUCGGUAGUCAUCCAUUCCCAUCUCGCAUCUUCAUUUGUUUCAUCUUCAUUAGGGUCAUGGUAUUCCUCAUCAUGGUGCAGUUGUGCACCUUCCUCUUCUUGAUGCAAGUGUGCAUCCUCUGUUUCUUCAUUAUGCUGCUCUAUGUGCACCUGUGGGUCAUCUUCAACAUACAACAAAUUUGCUUCCACCUCGGUGUUAGUUCGAGAUGGGUUAGGCAAUAAAAUUAAGAUGGGCACAUUCAGUUGGAGUGUAUAGACAAAGGGGACUCGAGUUUUUAUGAAAUUCAUAGAGAUGAGAGUUUCUAUGUUUAGUCUAUUGUUACCCUCGAUCUUGUUUAUCCCUAGGUCUUCAUUCACACCGAAUCGCCCAGCUAUGUAUGUUAUAAUACCCCCCACUACUAUUUCUCCCCUACUAUCGGACCUAUUUCCUAUAAGGGAAAGGUAGUCAAGCAAGUAAAAACAAGUGUUAAUGGUUUGGUUGUGCAACAUAGCCCAAAGCAUGAAGAGUUCAUCAUUCCUAGUGUUCCCCAAUUCUUUCCGUCCCCUAAGGUACCUAAGUACGGGGUUGUGAAUGUUGCUAGCUUUGUUUGCACGUGUGUUAAAUUGGUCAAGACCGGUGAUUUGCUCCCAAAAGGCGGCGGGUUGAUAGUUAACCGGUUUUAAAUUUUGAUCCCAAGAGUCGUGGAUGAACCCCGCAUUGGCGAAGCCCAUCUCAUCACAGAAGUGUUGAAGAAACAUCUCAUAAUCAAUAUUCAAAAGCCGGAAAGAAACUCUAUGGUUAGGGUUAUCAAAGUUCAACCUAUAUUUCGUAAAAACAAUAGAACUUAAAAAUUCAUAGGUGAAGUUUUCAUACCCUCGCAUAGGUCUCAACAUAUCAACCCAUCCUAGCCUUUCUAGCAGUUUUAACACAUUAUCCUUAAUACCUAGCUUAUUCAUGUCAUGGUUAUCAGGGUACCUGCAAGGUUGUAGAGGUUUAGAGAUUAGAAGUUUGUACCUAUCCCUUUGCUUGUUGUCCCGGAAGAUGAUGCCAUGAUUUUUGGCUUGUGCCUUCUUCUUUGGGGGAGGUCCCCCGGAUGAGCUUGCAACUUCCUUUCCACUUCUCUUUGAAGUCAUUGCCCUGACCUUGCCUUUGGUGUGGUGGUUUGGUUAAGGGUUGUUUUGGUGGAAAAAGGUUGCACUAGCGUUGUGUUGAAGGUUUAUGUGAGUUUUUGAGGUUGGGUUAGGGAGGUUGGUGACAAAUUUAUGGUUUUUGGGUUAGGUUAUGGAGGGUUACGAAUUUGGGUGAUGUUGGUUGGGGUGGAUGAAAGUUGUUUUGGAAUGGUGGGUUAUGAUUGGAAUGGUGUUAGUGAUUGAUUGGGUGGAGAAAUUUUGUGAAUGGGUGUGAUUUGGGGGUAGUUGUGAAGGUUUGUAGUUGUAUGGUUAUGGAGGUUUGAGAGAGAAGGUGUGAAGUAGAGAGAAGUUUGUGUUGGAGAGUGAGGGAAGAAGAAGAUGAAAAGGUGGGUUUAUCCUUACCUGUAGUCGGGCACGGCCGUGCCAACCUUAGCACGG